UGGAGUAAAUGGUCUUUCAACUGAACAACGAAAACGACUUACAGUUGCAGUUGAACUUGUUGCUAAUCCUUCUAUAAUAUUCAUGGACGAGCCAACCUCUGGAUUAGAUGCUAGAGCAGCUGCAAUAGUAAUGAGAACAGUUAGAAACACUGUAGAUACAGGUCGAACAGUAGUAUGCACCAUCCAUCAGCCUAGCAUUGACAUAUUUGAUGCUUUCGAUGAGGUGAUAAAUAGUUGAUCUUCCAAAAUCUAGCAGCUUAGCAUAAUUUGUUUUAGACAAAAAGAUUCUCAUUUUACUAAUGAAUUGCAGCUCCUACUCCUGAAACGAGGAGGUGAAGAAAUCUAUGUCGGCCCAUUAGGACGCCAUUCUUCUAACCUUAUUAAGUAUUUCGAGGUAAGGAUACUGUUAUGUAAAGAAACUGUCAUUCCUGUUAUGUUGGCCAAGUACACAGAGUAAUGAUUGUUUUUCCAUUUGCUCAGGGAAUUGAUGGAGUUGCGAAAAUCAAAGAUGGCUAUAAUCCAGCAACAUGGAUGUUGGAGAUAACUUCAGUAGCACAAGAAGCAGCUCUUGGAAUAGACUUUACAGACAUGUAUAAGAACUCAGAAAUGUAUAGGUAUGAAUCUAGAGUUGAACGCAAUUACAUUCUACAUAUAGAAUUACAAAUGUCUUGUCUUGAAUUCUAAAUUGGAGCAAAUAUCAGGAGAAACAAAGCUUUAAUCAAGGAACUAAGUGUGCCAGUCCCAGGUUCAAAAGAUCUGUACUUUCAAACCAAGUACUCCCAGUCUUUCUUCACCCAAUGCAUGGCUUGCUUCUGGAAACAGCACUGGUCAUACUGGCGCAAUCCUCCUUACACAGCUGUCAGGCUCAUGUUUACAUUCUUCAUUGCUCUCAUGUUUGGAACAAUAUUUUGGGAUCUUGGCUCCAAAAGGUAAGUAAAAAUGUACAGGAACUGUUUUUCAUCUUCAACAUGUUGGUCACAAGUCUAAUGGUUUUGAACACAAUUUCAGGAGAAGGCAGCAAGAUAUUUUGAAUGCAAUAGGCUCAAUGUAUGCUGCUGUCUUGUUUCUUGGUGUACAAAAUGCAACUUCAGUGCAGCCAGUAGUUGCCAUUGAGAGGACAGUCUUCUACAACCUUAUGCUUUUGGGCAGGUACAGAUUUGUAUCUCCACAAACAACUUAGUUUGGUCAAAACCUCUUAAUGAUUCAUAAAAUGGAUUCAAAUGAUCACUGAGGGUCUACGACCUUAAAAGUUCAUCUCUAUCUCGAGCUUUCAGUCUGCAUAUCAAAUAAAUCCAAUUUGGCCUAUAUAUAGCAUCUGAAGUCCUAGCUAGGGGACAUCUUGUGGGGCAUCAGUGUAAGUAAUAUAAACAACUGACAGUGUGUUACUGAUAGAAGCGGAUCCAAAUUUAGAGUAAAUUGAUUCAAAGUAAGUUCAGUUGUAUGAACACGCGUGUGCACCAUUUUUCAUCAAAGGAGUUAAGAUUUAUCAUCAUGACAGGUCGUCCACAGAACUGUAAUGUUGACGUUGGUUGUCAUUGGUUCCACUUAUAUUAGCUACUCAUACUCAUCGACUGAAUAUUUUUUUUUUAUGCAGGUUAUGAUUGAGCUCCCAUACCUUUUAAUCCAAACGAUCAUAUACGGGGUUAUAGUCUAUGCCAUGAUCGGAUUUGAAUGGACAGUUACCAAGUUCUUUUGGUAUCUGUUCUUCAUGUACUUUACCUUAUUGUACUUCACAUUGUACGGGAUGAUGACAGUAGCUGUUACUCCUAAUCACAGCAUUGCAGCCAUCAUUUCAUCCGCAUUUUUUGCAGUAUGGAAUCUUUUCUGUGGAUUCAUCAUUCCAAAAACAGUAAGUUACCUACUAAUUCUUCUCCAAGCUACAUUGUCAUCAACAUGAACUGCCCCAAGCUGGAACAUGUUUACAAAGAUUGGACUAAAUUUGUUGUCAAACUGUCAUGAAUGUAACAAUUUUCUAUCGUUUUCCCAAUUUAUGACAGAGAAUGCCAGUGUGGUGGAGAUGGUACUAUUACAUUUGCCCCAUUUCGUGGACAUUAUACGGGCUAAUUGCCUCACAAUUCGGAGACCUACAAGAUAAACUUGACACAAAUGAAACAGUGGAAGAAUUCAUGGAAACUUUCUUUGAUUUCAAAUACGAUUUUGUCGGAUAUGUUGCAGUCAUUCUUGUUGGAAUAUCAGUUACUUUUCUCUUCAUUUUUGCUUACUCAAUAAAAGCAUUUAACUUCCAGAAAAGAUAGGUUGGUCCCGGUAAAAGGGCUUUAUCAAAAAAUGUGUAUAAUAGGACAAUAUAUAAUGCAUCUUUUUCCUCCUUUUUAAGAUAUUCUCAAUUUUGGAAUAGAAAGAACUAAAGUUUGUGCCCUGUAGAGGCUGUAUCUAAGAACAACUUGUACAUGGGAAAGGUUUUGAGUUUCUUUUGUAAAAUAUCUAUGAACUUGUCGGGCGUCUCUGAAUUCAAACUAUUGUUCUUCAUUUUUUUGCUUUUUUGAACAAUUUUUGUGUUAGAAUUUUUUAAGAACACAACACGUGUGCCUAGCGACUGGGGAGUUAGUGAAAUGCUAAUUUUUACUCUUCAGGUUACUGUUGUUCAUAACUUCUAAUCUCAUUCUCUUUUCCUGUUCUUUAUAACAACAGACAGAAUAAAUAUUUUUCGCUAUUUGACAGAAACACAAGAGACAAGAGGGGAAAAAUCAUGAUUUCAGUUUUCGGAUUAUGAUCUUGAUGAACAUGUGGUUUUGAUGGUUGACAAAACUCAUGUGAGAACUUGGUCCUCAGAGGGAUCCUGUUUCGUAGGGACUAGGUUCAUAUUAUGGAUGUACUCAUAACCUUGUUACGUGGUAACUUCUCAAGGGGAUGUUUCCUAGUUCUAAUAUGUGCAGUGAUACAUGACAUGAAAGCACUGAAUGACACAUGGGAUAUCUGGUCCUAAUAAUAGACAAACUUGCCCAGGGACCUGAUUAGGGUCCACGUCCUCCGGUCAUCGAACUUCUGCCAGUCAACAUGACAGCUGUUAGCUGUACUUUUUUGCAGAAAAGUUGGUGGCACAGCAACAAAGGAGCAACAUCUUUUUAAUUCCGACCAAUGAGAAAUAUUCUAGGUUUUCCCCUCCCAUUUGCUUCAUAUAUAUAAAAUAUUAUGUGGGAGGAAAACCUAGCUCUUUGAUACGAACAAAAAUUUUGGAAACGAAAAUUAAACUAUGAUACGAAGACGAAAGAUGAGAUAUAAAGAAAAGGUAAUAAGAUAGACACAAUGAAAGGAAUUGAAAGCAAAUAAAGGGUCUAUCAAACCGUAAAGCCUCAAUCAAUAUACAAAACAAAGCACCUAAAUCUUACGUAGACCUCAAGGGAAUUGGAUUCCCAAGCAACCCACGUUUCUAAAUGAAGUUUCAACACAAGCGAUUCCACGUUUGUCUCACACUCUCAAUAGAGUAUAUAUUCAUAAUUUUUCAAAAACUACUACUAAACGAAAGAGAAGUCCUAUUUAUAGUCUAGGCUAAGUUAUUACAUCUUAUGGGUCUGAAAGUGACCUAUUUGGAAAGACAAAACAUAGGAGCCCAUUAAGCAUCCACUUGAGCAUCUCUAGUGUAUAUGGGGCGCACAUGAGGCGCAUCCCAAGGGCAUAGUAGACUGUUUUGACCUGCUCUAGCAAAUCUAGAGUAGGUUGGAUGCACCUCCAAAGCGGAUGGGGCACAUGUCCUCUUUUGGGGGUUUUCUAGCCCCAUCUUGCCUUUCUUUGGCUUCCUAAACGUCCCUUGACCCUCCUUGAUCAUCAUAAUCAUUCAAUUAGCACCUUUUGAUAGCACUAAGGAGGCACCAAGCGCCUCUUGAACUAUAAGCAUCCUCUCCCAAGCAAUUUGGAUUGUAUCAUCCUUUCCUUAUUGAAGAAGAUUCGUCCUCGAAUCUACACCUUAAGACAUAAGAGAAGAAUACACAACCAAGACAUCCUCAAGCACGAGGGUUAUCACAAGGGUUAAAAUCAAAAUAUCUAUGUUGGAGACACCUAUUUCAAAUAUAACCAAAUAUCCUUCAAGUUAAUAGAAGAGAAGUCAACAUUUAUGGUGCCAAGGAUUUGUCUAUGAAAAGCAUCAAGAAAUUCUCCCAAGUUAGUUUCAUUACCAAGAUUACCAAACAAAUCAUCAUAUGUUAGAACACUAAGGGUAGAGUGAAAGAGUUAUUAGGGUGUAGAUUACACUUACUUUCACAAGAGACCAUGUAUACACAUAAGGCAUUUGUAGCACCAAUAUGGCUAUGCUCACAAACAAAGAAAACGGAAUGAAUAGAGCUAUGAUUACCUAAGGUUCUACCAUGAAAAAUAUAACAUGAAGGUAAGAACAAACAUCUUAAGAACCUCACAUUCCUUUCACUUGAACAAGCUCCCAAGAAAUAUCCAAUUUAUUUAUCCACAGAGGUAUGACAAGAAAUAAGGGACAAAGGUUGUUUAUCAAGUUAGAACCAUAGACUAUUUAUAGAGCAACAAUUAGAUUGGCCAUCCGAGAUGGGAAAACCACACAUUUUAUGCACAUUCAAGUCAUUCCUAAAGACAUAAACACCAUCUAGGUAGAUUUUUAAAUAAAAUAUCUUGAAAAGAUUGUCUACCUUAGGGUGAAUGUCAUUACAAUUUUAAGAAAUACUAGGAAUAAGAAGGGGUAGGUACAUACAUUUGGAGCAAAGCCUUGAGCCUGCUCUCUUGCCUUCUAAACUUGCACCAUGUGGUCUUUCCCUCACAUGCAUCAACUUAGAAAUUGGCAAAAUGCUAGUGCCAAAGGUAUUGAACAACAAGGACUUGGAUUUGUUGCUAAACUCUCCUUUAUUGUCCCAAAGCUCCAAUUCUUCACUACUUAUCUCCCGCCUCAUCAUAAGGUUAAGGUUCAUGACAUCUCCUUCUUCAGGCCAAAUAUCUUCAUGGAAAACAUUCAUCAUCAAUCCACAAGGUACAUUAAAGUCCCCUUCAACUUUUGCUAAUUUCUAUUCACUUCCAAGGUCUUCAUCCUCUUGAGGAUCCUUCUCACCACCAUCCUCUUGGGUCACCUUAUCCCCAACAAAGUAAGGAUCACCCUCCACCAAUACUAUAUUUCUUCGGUUGGGACAUUCACUAGCCUUAUGACCCCAACAUUAACAUUUAAAAAAAAUAAUUUCUCCAGGAUUGGUGUUAGAAGAUUGGUUACCUUUAUUCUUUGGUGGAUAUCUCGGGAUUGCAUUUUCAAUGGGAUUCUUCUCGAAUGACUUGUUGAAAUCCUUUUUUUGUUCCAUCCGGAUGAAGUAAAAGAAUUGCAACCUUUAUUGAAAGACUUCUUGGCAUUGUUGUUCCUUUAAGACUCAAUGAAUACUUCAACAAGGUCUUCUAUUCGUACAAAAUUCUGGACAACUUGUUUAGAAGAAAUUUCAUAAUCUAACCCACUUUUUAGUUGAGCCAUAUAAUGAUUUUAGGGUUCAACAAUUUCAAAACAAAGAAUUAAGUUUUAGAACUCCUCAUAAUAGUCUUCCACACCUCUACUUUCUUAUCUCAAAUUGUAGAGAUUUGUUAAUUGUUCUUGCUUAAACUUUUCCAUCACAUACCUCACUCUCAUGAGUGCCCUCAAUUCAUCCCAAUCCAGAAGGUCGGGAUUACCAUUCCUCUCUCUUUUCACUCUCUUAAUCUCUUUCCAAGUAGAAGCAUACUCUUCAAAUUGAGAAAUUGCAUAGGUGACUUUCUUGUGUCCGGUUAACUCAUUGAGUUGGAAGAUCCUAUUGCCUUGUACUUCCCAAUCAAGGUAAAUUGAUGGAUCGCUAGUUACUUUGAAGGUAGGAAGAGUGAUCUUGAUUGAGUUAAGACUCCAGUCUCGACCAAUAUUUCCCCUUGAUCCUAUUGAUGAUCUUCUUAAACUUGGGGACGAAUUCCCAAGUUUCCUCUUCCAUGUGGAACCAUACCAAAUCUUCUUCCGCGUUCUCUAUAUCCUCUAUCUUGAUCUCCUCUUCCAUUACAUACAAAUUCUGCAAAGAGAGACACGUCAUCUAACUCUUCAUCCCUUCCAUGAGGUUCCUCACCUCUAACAUCCUUAUUUUGGAUUGGUUGAUUGUGGUUAAGUGGGAUUUGAGGGGUUGGUUUCUGGUAAGUGGGGCUCUAGGUAGUCCUUGGGGUAUUUGGAUAUGCGAUUCUUGUUUUUGUGGAGUUUCAUGGUGGACGAAUGAGAUUUUGGUUAUUUGUGUGAGCAGUGGCUUGAAUGAUGGGUUCAUAUAUUUGCCUCAUUGGAUUGAGCAUUUGGUAAAGGUUUUCUAAGAAAAUAGAAAUGGGAGGGCAUGUAGCAUGUCCACUAGUUGAAGCGUGGUAGUGUUGAGGCGUGGAUAGAUAUGAGUUUUGUCGACCUUUCACGAUAUCCAUUCUUCCACCGAUGUUGUGAAUACUUCCUUCAAGUGAAGCCACCUAAGGUCAAGUGAGUUUAUCGUAUCUUAGCGUCCAUAGGAUCAAUUUUACGGUUGAGAGUUUAAAUGGCCACUAAAAUAACACUUGUGUGUCCAUAGGUUGCAAAGUUUUGCCUUCCGUAGCCAUUAUACCUAUCACAAAAAUACUAAACAAAAACAAAAACAAUAAACAAGUUAAAGUUAAGAAAUUAACCUCACAAGCUCUCAAAGUUCACACCUUUUGUUUGUCUCUCAGUUGGCGUCUUUGUCGCUCAAUUGGCAUCGCAAGCGUUGUUAGAUUGUUUAUACUUUAAUGAGUUUGCUUAGUACCAAUUGUGUCUUGAGGUAGGAAUGGAUUAUUGUUUGAAAGACUAAAAAUAAAAAGAUAAUUACGUACAAACUUAAAUCAAGAACUCACAACAAAUUAAAAAAGUGAAAAGCUUGAAAGAAAUAGGCCGAUGAAAGAAACCAAACUCAAGAACCAAUCAACCAACUUAGCAGGUGAAUUAUUAGUUGUUGAGUGGUUUAAGAAUCAACAGACGAAUUUAGGAAUCAAGAAGUGAAACCAAGGAAUCAAACCUGAGCAAAUUAGAAUUUAGGAGUGUUAGAAAGCAUUUAGAACUUGAAUUUAAUGUUGGGGAGGCUUGAUUUGCAUUUGGGAGGUGUCACACACCUUGGUGCAGGUCAAAGCACUUGCAGCACAGAUGAGGGAGGUUGCUCACUCCCUUGAGAUAUGGAAACAACUCCAACACAUGUCUAGGGCAGGCUGGGCAUAAGAGCAGCCUUGGACACUGCCUUGAUAUGUAGUAGCAGCUCCAGCGCACCUGCAGUGCAGAUGGACAACAAGUUGGCCACAUCUUCCUUUUAAAAAGGUAGAAAAUACCCCUUGAUUGGUCUCAUUUGCACUCUUCGAUUGGAAUAUGCUUGGAAUUCUUUGGAGAUGCCUUGGUACAACACUUUUUUACUUUUUUUCUCCUUCUUUUUGGAUCAAACACUCACUCUUUUGAUGAACUUCAGUAUCAAGAUAACAAUCUUCUCAAGAACACUCCAAGAACUCCAUGAACACCUUAGCUCGGAAUGAGUUGAAAAUUUGAACUUAUGCACUUGUCAAUAUUCUAAACUCAUUCCACGCAUUAUUUUGCUCAAAUUCCUCACCCAACACUUCAACUCUUGCAAUCCACUUUAAACUUUUUCUUCAAAGCCAAGCUUCUAAUGCUAGUAUAAGACUCAAUUUCACUCUGAUUUUGCUCGAAUUUGAUAUAUGGACUCUAAUAGUGUUAGGGAACUAAAAUUUAACACUAGAAACACAAGAAAAACUCAAAAUUUGAUCUAAGGCUAAAACAUAAAUAGUAAUUUUUUUGUGAUUUUUCAAUUUUUCACGAUGACUAAACCCAAGAUUGACUUCAUAGGAAUUAAAUCAAGCUAGACUCCGAUACGAAAUGAUACAGACACAAAUUAUGUAAAUUAAAACUAAACUAUGAUAUGAAGAAGAAAGAUAAGAUAGAAAAGAAAGGUAAUAAAAUAGACACAGUGAAGGGAAUUGAAAGAAAAUAAAAAGUAUAUCAAACCCUAAACCAUCAUCAAUAUACAAAACAAAGCACCUAAAUCUUACGUAGACCUCAAGGGAAUUGGAUUCUCAAGCAACCCACAUUUCUAAAUGAAGUUUCAACACAAGCGAUUCCACGUUUUCCUCACACUCUCAAUAGAGUGUACAUUCAUAAUUCAUCCAAAACUACUACUAAAUGAAAGAAAAGUCCUAUUUAUGGUCUAUGCUAAGUUAUUACAUCUUGUGGGCCCAAAAGUGACCCACUUGGAAAGACAAAACAUAGUAUCCCAUUAAGGAUCUGCUUGAGCAUCUCUAUAGCAUAUGGAGCGCAUAUGAAGUGCAUCCCAUGGGCAUAGUAGACUAUUUUGACUGCUCUAGCCGAUCUAGAGUAGGUUGAGCGUACCUCCAAAGAGGAUGGGGUGUAUGUCCUCUUUCGGGGGCUUUCUAGACCCGUCUGUCCUUCCUUUGGCUUUCUUACCGUCCCUUGACCCUUUUUGAUCAUCAUAAUCAUCCAAUUGGUACCUUUGAUAGCACCAAGGAGUCACCAAGUGCCUUUUGAACCACAAGCAUCCUCUCCCAAGAUCCGGAGUCAAUUCGAAUUGUAUCACUUUUGCUCAAUCAAAAUUUCUCAUAUUCUUGCAAAACCAUCACAAAGUUUCACCAAGAAAAAUCUCCAACAACAAAAGGACCGAUUUUCUAUAAUGAAAUAUGUCUUUAGGUCUAGAUUGUUGAGUAUUUGUAUUUUACUCUAUCAUUGUAAACCUACUCCUCUUUUGAGAAGCUUGUGUAGGUAUUUUAUUUUCUCUCAUCUUAUAGAUCUAUGUUGUGGGCUUCUGUUAGUUAUUGUAUGGUCGAGGGAUAGAGUUAGCCAUAGUUGUAACAUUGUUGGCUACAAUUAGCUUUGGUUGUCCUUGCAGUAGAGUUAUUUUAGAUAGUUUUUACAAUAGAGUUGUUGUAAGGGUGAGGGAUUAAGAAUUUAAUUCCUAGGUUGCAAUCUAAAAGUUGUUUUUGUUUUAGUGAAGUGGUUGAGAAAUCCUACUAAGGUAGGUCAUGGUUUUACUUCCUUGAUCAAGGAGGCUUCCACAUAAAAGAUCUUGUCUUCUUUACUUUUGUUCUUAGUCGUUGAACCUGGUGAGGGACCAGGUUUGCAUUACUGUGGCAAACUCAUAUAGAACCUUUUCUGUUAUUAGCUGAAGAAACUGGUAAGGGAUCUGGUCCUUAAUGUUGCGUCCUAUUUCAAAAUGGUCAAAACAAUCCAUAAUAUAAUGUGGUCAUGAUGACUCUUUCGUUUUGAAAAACUAUUUACUUUUGAGUCACCACCUAACUUUUAAGAAAAAACUAAGAAAACUAUUUUUGUAAUGUGAAAACUCUAUAUAUAGUCUGCAACCAGUGAGAUUGUAAGUAAGGAUUUGGUUACUCGAGGGGGAGGUAUUAAGCACCCCUCAGAGCCUAUCGGAAGAUAGUCCUUAAACUUAGUUUAUAGAAAAAUAUUUGAGAAAUAUUUGCCUUAAUUAUUUGCUAAAGAAGUGAUUAGACAAAAAACUUUUAUUAUUUUGUAAAAAGAAACUCAAGGUAUAUAAAACGUAACACCAACAUAUAUAAGAAAAUAAUAUGGUUAUUGCAAAAUGUGUACAUUUUAAAAUAUGAAAAAAAGGAUGUGUUGUAAUAAACAUUUGUUAGAGAGUAAAAAGUCUUGUGAGUUUAUAAAAAAAAGUAUGAAAUUGAAGUAUGGAAAUAAAAUUACUAUAAAGUAAAGAAAAGGUAGUUUUAAAGUAUAUGAGAACUUAUUUAUAAGGAGGUAAAUAUAAAUACAUGUAUAUUUUAAAGUAUAAGAAGAGAUGUGAAAAUUCAUUAAAUUGUGAAAUUUCAAUAGAUUAAAAAUAAAAUGUAAUAGUAAAACACAUAUGUUUAAUAGAGUUGAUAUGAUAUGUAAAUGAUAAAAUAAUAAUAAUACAAUAGUAAGAAAAAGAAUAGUAAUAGUAAGAAUAUACUUUAUAUAUGGUAGUGUAAAAGCACUUAUAUACCUUGUGUUUUUGAAGACUUCUAAAAUCUGAAAACUUGAAAUAAAAAAAAGGGCAGCCUAGUGCACUAAAGCUAUCGCUAUGCGCGGUGUCUGGAGAAAGGACCCACCACAAGGGAGUAUCGUACACAAUCUUACUUUGCAUUUCUGCCAGAGACUGUUUCCAAGGCUUGAACCCAUGACCUUCCGAUCACAUGGCAACAACUUACCAGUUACUCCAAGACUCCCCUUCUUAACUUGAAAUAAAGUUAGGAAUAACUAUAACAUGUAAUAAGCAUUUAAAUUAUAUUGGAUUAAAUGAAAAAUUGAAUUUGAUAGAUGAGUUGUUGGCAAAAAUGAGCGGGUCGGCUAAUUGAAACCUAUUACAUUGAUUUAUUUGAAAAAAAAUUCUAAUUAAGAUGAUAAAACAGUUAGUUAAUAUUUUGCAAAAACAAAUACUAUAACUAGCCAUUUUAUUCAAUCCAAAAAAAAAUUUUCCAUUUGAGAUUGUUCUUAUUAAAAAUAAAGUUUGUCAUUUAUUCUAAGAAGUUGAUUCGUAGUUACAAGACUAUAAAAUAUAAAAGUGGUCAAACCAUGAACCGUUAUUAUAUCUACGAGUGUCGAAUGAACACGAAAUUGGUCGAAUAAGAUCAAUUUCGGAUGAUUUGAAAUUUAAACGGAACCAAACAAUGUAAAGUUAAUCAAACCACACAAAAUACAUAUUCAAAGUGAUACAAAGUUAGUAAAAAAAUACCAAGAGAAAAUGCUCUGUUUCCAUCCCAAACUAUACACGAAAAUGUUGAGACACAGUCGAACUUUAGGAGGGUCCCAUUACCCCCUUGCGUUAAUUAAAAUCGUAUUUUUGACAACCUUAGUGCCUACGUGGUACAUAUGUGUGCCUACGUGGACCUUCAGUGUGUUGAUUCACUGAUAUGCCGCAUAUGUACCACUUAGAUACUAAAGUUGCCAAAAAUACGAUUUUAAUUAGUUUAGGGGGUAAUAAGACCCUCCAAAAGUUCAGGUGUAUCUUAGUAAUUUCGUGUUUAGUUCAGAGUGGAAACAAAACAUUUACUCAAAUACCAAUGAUAAUAGGAAUAUGUAGAGAAAGUAAAGGACUAGAUACACUAAGGGGUCGUUUGGUAGAGUUUAUAAGAACAAUGCUGAAUAGAGUGUAUUAGUAAUGCUUGCAUUAGUAAUGUUGGUAUUAAUUGUGCUUGCAUUACACUAUUUGGUUUGAUGUAUUAAGAAUAAUAUAUGUUGGUAUAAUUUUUAUAAGAAAAUAUUUGUUGACAAAAAUAUCCUUUACCCUUUUCUUUUUUUUUUGUUCUUUUAUUAGAACAGAUCAAGGAAUUGGAUAUUUUAAGCUUGUUCCGCCUUCUUCAUCUAACAACAAAUUCUCAGGCUUCAAAUCUCUAUGAUAAACACCACGACUAUGACAAAAAUCAAUUGUAGAUAUCAAUUGUUGAAAAUAACCUCUUGCAUUAUCUUCCCUAUAACUUCCUUUUAGCUGCUUUUUCAAAUAAUUCACCGUCUUUAACAAACUCCAUAGAAAUAUAUAUAUUCGUUUUGCUUGUCAUAACUUCAUGAAGCUCAAUAAUAUUUGGAUGUUUAACCAUUUUCAUGACGGAGUCUCAAACAAGUCAAAACUUCAAUCCCAAACCCUCAUUCCCCAUAUUCAUAACCUCCAAAAUAAAGAAUCCAAUUUCAAAUCUAUACCCAAAAAUCCAACAUUCAAUUUUAGUGGAGAAGAGUAAUAUCUCAUUGAGGGAAGAAAGGAAGAAGGUGCAGUGAAUAUUACCUUACUUUUCCAUGGCUAAUAUAUUAAAAAAGAAAAAAAAAUAGAGGCAAAGUGAAGAGAAGGCAAGGCAAAGUGAAGAGAAAAUGACAAAAUAUUUUAGUAAGGAUUUAAGGGGUAAAUUUGUCAUUUAACAAGAUAAUACAUGUAUUAAAAUACUUUGUAUUAUUAAUACCUAGAAAAUGGCGGUGUUAGUAAUACAAUACUUAAUAUACAAAAGAGUGUGUAACUAAUACAAACAUUAGUUAUGCAUAGGCUAAAAAAUGAACCAAACAAGGUAUUACUAGAACACAAGAAUAAUGCAUGCAUUAAAUUUUUUAACACACUCUACCAAACGAUCCCUAAGUUCUUUUUUGGAGGAAACCACUCCUAACGAUGUAGACUCCGAAAGUUGACGAUCCUAUAACUGUUAACCCAAUAAUAUGAGUGAAAUUGAGUUUCAUUACGUAACUUCAACUCCCAAGUGUACAUGAAACAAAAGAAAAAAAAUAAGUAUUAAUAGCCGAUUAACUAGAAAGACAAAAGGUGUAAAGUUGUAAAGGCUCAAGUUCCACGUCAUAUCUCCAAAAUCAAUAAUUUAAUGUUCGUAUACAUAUUUUCUUACUAUGGUAACAAGUAAUAUAGGAUGCUAACAAUUCCGAACCAACACAUAAUUGUAUACUAAUAAUCAUCCAAUGCAGUGGUGGAAAAAGAAGCAUGAUAUCCUACAGGUUGGUCCCACGAGCAGAGAUAUAUUUCCAGGCUAAAGAAAGUUUGUACAAGUGCUAGGAAAUAAUAAGGAAUGUAAUAGUGAGGACAUGAAACUUUUACUUUGGUAAAGAGUGAAAGAAAACAAGAAUAAGCACAUUCCAACACACACAGACUCUUGAAUGAUUUGGAAGUAGUUCGAAUACGUACCCAGACUUAUAUUAAACAUAAUUAAAAAUAAAAGGGACAAACAGUGAGAAAACAGAAUAACAACAACUUUAUGUUUCAACUAACAAACUUUAUGGAAAUCACUCUCUCAGUUAUUCACAAGACCAUAUUAGGCUCGCACUGAAACAUUAAAAAAAUCAGAAAACAACACCAGCAGUCCUAAAAUAAAACAAACACCGGAUGCACAUAUCUACAGACCCAUGUAUUCACACACAAAUAAUUUUCAGAAAAAGAAUAUUAUAUUUUAUUCGCAAAGGUGUUGAAAAACCAAAAACAACCAUAUUUAAGAAUAAAAUAAAAUCACACAUUCAUAAACCAAACGAGACGAAGAAAAGAUGAACAAAGGAAUUAAACGGCAGAUUCGCACAUAUUAGAACACUUAAAACAAAGUCAUAUUCCUAAAUUCAAUUCCAGGACAAUGAACGACAACACCAUAAAAAGACCUGAAAUAAAUUAAUUCACCCAUUCACGACUCUCAAAAAAUGGCCGACAAAGAAGAUACGAAGGCCACAUAAAAGACGGGUCUUUACCUUGUGUUGUGCUGCAAGCCAGGAGAUUUGACGUCAAUAUUCUGACCACAAAUUCGAGUUUUUCAAAAAUUCAAACUCAGACCUAAGAGUAAUGGAUUUUGUAAUUCUUGCUUGUAAAAAUGUUCACUCAUUUUUCAAUCACCCAUCCUCAAAACUUAUUCCAAAUUGAAAAAAAUUAUGGGUAUUUAUAGGCAAAUUCAAAUUUCAAAAUCCAAAUUUGAAACCAAGAUUUCAUAGAAACCAACGGUUAGAUAAAGAUGAUGAAUUCAUAUUCAAAAAACUGAAAGGGACGACUCCUCUCUCGAUUUGGUUGAAUCUCAGACCUUUAAUGCGGAUUUCAAAUUAAUUUUAAGCCCUUGCAUUGAUUUGGUUACUGUUGCUCCACUGUCAUUGAGAUUCACGAGUUGGGGAUGAAUGAAAAUAGGUGGGCUAUUUACAGAAGCGCUGUAGGUAGUGGUGACGUGGAUAGGGCUACUCGUUUGGUGAUGGUGGAGGAGCCGGAGAAGGAGAGAAGAAGAAGGGUUGUUGGUUGCUGUGUUUUGGGGAAAUUGAAAGGGAGAGGUCGAUGGAGGUUCUGAAAAAUUUGAAAUGUUUCUCCGACUUUGGGGAAAGAGGAGUCACGCAUUUUUUUAUGGGAAAGACAAAAGAAAUUUUGAAACUCUUGACUUAAUAUGAACCGUCCGAUCGUUUGAUCGGACAACUUAGACUUAGAAUAAAAAUAAUAAUAUCUAUCUUUUAUCUAUCUAUCUAAUAUAUAUAUAUAAAGCUGAAAAACAUAUGGCCCUUGGAUUAAAAUGAUUUUAAUGAUCAAGAUGAGUUUGUAUUUAUAGGCUACGUGAUUGCAGCGAGAUGUGAUUGGUUAGGGAGAUGUGGCAAGGAUUGAUGACCAGGAUGUGGGUUUGGAUGAAAAAGAGUUUUAUGGAUCGGGUUUGGGUGAAAAAUUAGGCCUCUUGGUCCGAAUUUGAUAAGAAAAACUUAGGAUUGAAUAAGUAAACUUGGAAUUGAAUUAUUUUUUACUCAAAUACUCUCUUUUUCACUAAAAAGUAAUUUUAUCCUUGCUUCUUAUUGUCCUAAAAUUAUUUUCACAUAUAUACAUACAUAAAUUCUAUAAAUAAUUCUUGUAUGCGCAUAAAAAUAAUUUAAUAAUUAAUUAUAUAUUUUAAAAGGAAAAAGCCUCAAAUAUGCCACUGAACUAUCAGAAAUGACUCAUUUAUGCCAUUCGUUAAAAGUUGGGUUCAUUCAUACCAUCGCCAUUACAAAACUGGCUCAUCCAUGCCAUUACUUUUAACAGUCGGUUUUUAAAAAACAGUUUGCCACGUGGCAGCAUAUUAGAGGUCCACGUCAUUUUUAAAUUUUUUUUUAAAAUUAAAUUUAAAAAAAAAGAAUUAAUUUUUUGUUGAUGCAUUAAAAAGAAUCCACCUAACUUUUUGAUCCAUUAAAAAUUAGUUUGAUCUAUACUUUUGAAGUUUGAGAUUAUUUGUAUAUUGCCCCAUAUCAAUAGUUUUUUUUUUUCCUUUUCUGGCUUUCACGUGUGACUCUGUUCACAAUACGGAUCAAUAAUAUGAUCAUCUCCCUUUGAACUAAGUUUCACUUGAUUAAUUACUGUUAAUGAGUUAAUUUUGAGAUUAUUUGUGUAUCGCCUCAUAUCAUCCGAGUAUUUAUAGUUACCAAACUCGUCACCUUUUUUUUUUGGGUUGUAUGCGGCUUAAAAUUGUGGUCAAAUAUAGUAAAUUGAUCCAUAGACAAGCAAAGACAAUAAGACAAUACGUCUCAUGCCGUCACUCUAUCAUCCUCAUACCCAUCCUGCAAAAAUUUCAGUACGAUAGCGUUGAUAUCAAUUACUGUGAUAAUUAAUUACCAUAAAAUACUUUUAAUAUUGUAUGAUAUCAUUCGCUUUGAAUCAAAUUGACAUUUUUUUUCAAGAGACCUUAAAUAUCUAACAUUUUAUAAAUAAUUUCAUUUCUUUUUUACUUUUCACGUGGGACAUUGUUCUCUCAAGCACUCAUUAUACUGCUCCCUCUCAUCUUUUUAAUAUGUCGUUUAAUGUUUUAACACAAUCAUAUAUUAAGAUAAUUAUUUGACAAUCAACAUUAAUCAUUGGAGCUAGAAUAUUUGUCUAAAUUAUAAUUAUAUUUUUCCUAAAUUACAAUUUGAUUUAAUGAUAUAGUUACAUAAAAAUUGGUGAGACGUCAUAGUUUUAUAUCCUUAUAUAAUUAAUUUUAAGUGGUCCAAUCUUAAUUAGAAAUUGAAUAAAAACAAUAUACAAGCCAUGCAGGCAAGUUACAACUCACAAGUAUUAUGUAUGUAUAGUCUUUAUCAUUUCAUUAUAUACUUAAUUCAAUGAAUUGAUUAAUUCCAAAAUUUUAUUGUUCUUUUCCCUUUAAUGAAAUAAAAUAUCUAAGAAGAAAGAAUAAAAUGAAAAUGACAUGGAAUUUGUAUAAUAUAGUUUAAGGCCAGUUGGUAUAUAUAAAAACAAAAGUAAAUCCAAUAUAUUUUUGAUAAGUUAGAUAACAUGGGAGUAUAUAUUUGUGUGGGAGUAUAAAAUAAAUUAAUGUAUAUAUAUAUAUAUAUAUGUUCAUUGAUUUCUUCAUAUAUAUUUUGAUGUUAUUUUAAUUUUUUUUAAUGAAAAUUUUGACUCUACUAUUAACCUAAUCGUUAUAGAUCAAACUAAUUUUUAAUGGAUCAAAAAGUUGGGUAGAUUCUUUUUAAUGCAUCAAAAAGAAAAAUUAUUAUUAUUAUUAUUAUUAUUUUAAAAAUGACGUGGACCUCUAAUAUGUCGCCACGUGAAAAAGCUAUUUUCUAAAAACCGGCUGUUAAAAGUAAUGGCUUGGAUGAACCAGUUGUGUAACGGCGAUGGCAUGAAUGAACCCAACUUUUAACGAAUGACAUAAAUGAGUCAUUUCUGAUAGUUCAGUGACAUAUUUGAGCCUUUUUCCAUUUUAAAAUAGUUUAAAAUAUGGUAGAAAAAGUAAAAUAAAUCUUUUAUUUUUAUCUUUUCAAAAUUCAUAGAAAUUAAAUACAAAUUUAUUUCAAAAAAUUAUUCAGGACGAAGAAGCAUAGAAAAGCAAUUAAAGAAAAAAAGACGAGUUCAACAACUGCCCCUAAUUGACCAAAGAUUGGUGUAAGAAUCGUUGGGAAAUCAAGUUGACGUAGCCAGUUUUAUCUCGGGUGAAUUAAAAAGUUUGAAAGAUUAUGUCUGGGCUCCAAUUUUUGAGUUUUCUACAUAUCUCAGGUUUAAUGAGAAAAUAGGUCAUUUGUAGUUCGAAUCAUAGCAAAUUUUGAUUAGCCUAAAAAUUUUUCCCAGUGUAGAAUUAUGGUGACACUGAAUCCUUUCGAAGGUGAUUGCGAAGAUUUUAACAUGAAUGAAAUGGAUAUAACUGUGCUUAUAUCCUUGCAUUAGGUUCUUUGGGAUAGCUGAGAAUGAGAAGAUGCUGGACAAUAAUAUUUAUUGAGAAUUUCGAAAUGAAAAAAUUGUAGACUUUCGAAAACUGCCUCAGUGUCGAUUAAGACGGCACUGGGUGAUGACGCUAAAAGUUAAAAAAAUGUAAAAAUUAUGUUGAGUUGAGUUUCUUCCCAGGAAUUCUUGAAAUUCAGUCCCAAAAACCAUCAAUCAAGGCAUGAAUAAUCCAUUAAAAUAUGAAAUAAGUAAUUCAAGUAAUAACAAUGAAAAUCCCCUAACCCAAUUUCAAAUCCAUAAAUUAAAACACAUGAAUAUUGAUUAAAUAAAUGCCAAAAUAUGAAAUUUAAGUUAAGAAAUGAGAAUUAUGCCUGAAAUACUAAAGAAUUUGAAAAGAAAUCAAUGUUUGGAGCUUGAAUGGUGAAUCCUUCAUAAAACCCUUGAGCUUUCUUGGGUUGGGAGUUAGAGAAGAAAAAAUGGAGUUUGAUUUUUUAAAAAUGAAGGAAAAAAGGUCACUUUAAUGUUAUAAAGUCGUUUAAGGGGUAAAAGGGCCAAAAACCCCUCACCCCAAGUGAAAAAAUAAAAACUGAAUAAAAAAACAUACCGACAUUGCACGCUGCUAACGUAGAGCUUAGCCUCUGUGCCACACCCUUAUCACGGAGGCGAAUUAGCGUGUCAUACCACUAUCACAAAGGCUUACUACUUCAGGAUCCGAAAAUGACCCCGAACCCCUUCUAAAAAUUUUAAAACUUUCCCAAAAUACCUUUUUAACAUCCUUAAUCAUGAUUCAAGUGAAAAAUUGACAUCACACACGUGGGAGGAUAAAAAAUGAAUUCAUUGAAAUUUUGCGGGGUCUUACAUUAUCCCUCUUUUGGAUCAUUCAUUCCCGAAUGAGGAGUUAGGACAUUUUUUGCACGAUAAUGGAAAUAACACAUUAGAAUCCAAUGACAAAUUCAAAAUUCAAUAAUAGGGCAAAUGAAAACCAUACCUUAAGCAUUUUCAUUCAACAUAGGAAACAAGAAUGGGUACUUGGCUUUUAUAUCUUCCUCAGCUUCCCAUGUAGCUUUUCCACCUUUUGGUUUCUCCAAGGAACCUUCACUGAAGCUAUAUCCUUAGUCCUCAAUCUAUUAACUUGCCUAUCCAAUAUCUUAAUCGAGACUUCCUCAAAAGAUAACGAAUAUGUAUCACCAACAUCCUCAACAGGCACUAUUAAAAAAGGGUCAUAGAGCCCAAACUUGUUGGUAAAUCUAAUUUAUAUGCAAUGUUCCAAAUUUAGCUCACAAUCUAAUACAAACCAAUAUAACAGGGACUUUGCUUACCCUUUUCCCAAACCUCAUGGCUCAUUUCAUAGAAGAAACCUUCAAGAAUACCCAAUCGCUCACCUCAAAAUCCAACUCCCUUCGCCUCAUAUCCGCAUAAGACUUUUGGAAAUUUUGAGUAGUCUUAAGUCUCUCCCUAAUCACUUUCAACUUCUCCAUGGCUUGGCAAACCAAGUCAAGGAAAAGAAACUUAUUCUCACCUACCCCAAACCACCCAAUAGGACAGCUACAUCUUCUACCAUAGAGUGCCUCGAAAGAAGCCAUUUGAAUGCUAGAAUGAUAACUAUUAUUGUCAGUAAACUCAAUAAAAGUCAAAUAGUCAAACAAACUACCCUUAAAAUCAAUCACACAGGUCCUUAUCAUACAUUCCAAAGUCUGGAUGGUACACACCACUUGUCCAUCUAUUUGAAGGUGGAAAACGGUUCUAAGGUUCACAUGAGUACCCAAACCUUUCUUUAAUAAACGUCAGAAGUGAGAAGAAAAUUGCACACCCUGAUUUGAAAUGAUGGACACCGAUGCUCCAUGCAACUUAAAUAUCUCCUGUAUGAACAACUUAGCAUAAUACUCUUAUGAGUAGUUAAUCCUCACAAUCAAGAAGUGAGUAGACUUAGUCAUUCUAUCCACAAUGAUCAAAAUAGAAUCAUACUGAUUACGAGACCGCGGAAGACCGAUAAUGAAAUCCAUAUUAAUCAUCUCUUACUUACACAUAGGUAAUUCUAUCUCUUGAGACAUACCACUAGACCUUAAAUUCUCAAUCUUAACUUGCUGAUAAACUGUAAACUUAGCCACAAAGAUCACCAUAUCUCUCUUCAUAUUAUUCCACUAGUAGAUUUUCUUCAAGUCAUGAUACUUCUUGGUUAAACCAACAUAAACUAGAUAUCAAGACUCGUAAGCCCCAGUUAAAAUCUUUUCUCGUAGCCCAUCAACAUUGGGAACAGAGAACAUUCUUUGAUACCUCAGAAUGCCAUUUUCCUCAAUCUCAAAAGCCAUAACCAUUUGCUGACUCACUUCAUCCUUAAUCUGUAUAAGUAUAGGAUCAAAAAUCCAUUUCUCUUUCACCUCAGCACUAAGAGAUGAUUUAACCACUUUCUAAACAACCAUUUCUUCAUCCAUAGUGUCUAAAAGAUGAACUCCCAAGGUAGCCAAUAUAUGAAUAUCUUUCACCAAUCCUCUUUUCUUCUCAUCAACAUGAGAUAAGAUUCUAAUAAACAACCUUAUAAGAGCAUCAACUACCACAUUAACUAUAUUUGGAUUGUAGUGAAGGCACAUGUUGUAAUCCUUAAGUAGAUCGAGCCACCGCCUCUCCCCGAAGUUCAAUUCCUUCUGAAUCAACAGCAAUGGUCUGAAUAAAUAUCCACAUCACCCUAUACAGAUAAUAACACCACAUCUUCAAGGCAAAGACCACAACCGCCAACUCUAGAUCAUGGGUCAAGUAAUUUCUCUCAUGAACCUUUAGCUGCCUAGAAGAAUAGGCUACAACCUUACUAUGUUGCAUCAAAACACAACCCAGUCCCUCAUGGGACUAUCACAAUAUAUAACAAACCUAUUAGUACCCUCGGGAAGGGUAAAAAUUGGUGUAGAAGUCAACUUAUCCUUCAACUUUAGACCAUUAAAACUUAACCUUUUUCUAAGUUAACUUCGUUAGUGGAGAAACAAUAGAUGAGAAAAUCUCCACAAACCUCCUAUAUUAUCCUGCCAAACCUAAAAAUCUCCAAAUGUCAGUUGGAGUCAUGGGUUUAGUCCUUUUCUUAACUGCAUCAACUUUCUGUGGAUCUACCUUAAUCCCUUCACUAGAAAUAACAAGCCCAAAAAUUUCACAACACUUAGCCAAAAUUCAUACUUAGAAAAUUUUGUAUAUAAUUUCUAGUCCUUAAGAGUCCGCAACAAAAUUUGGAGGUGACUGGCAUGAUCCUCCUCACUGUUAGAGCCAAGAUGUCAUUAAUGAAUACUAUAAUAUCCAUGAAUGGAGCCGAAGAAUUAGUUAACCCAAAUGUCAUAACCAAUAACUCAUAAUGGUCGUAUCGGGUUUGGAAAUAAGUGUUUGGAAUAUCAACCUCCCUAAUUUUCAGCUCAUGGUAGCCUAAACGAAGAUCGAGUUUUGAGAAACAUUUAGCACCUUAAAGCUGAUCAAAGAAGUCAUCAAUCAUAGAGAUAGGAUACUUAUUUUUCACUGUAAUCUUAUUAAACUAUCGAUAAUCUGUAGACAUCCAAAGGGACCCAUUCUUCUUUCACACAAAAAGUAAAGGAGCACCCUGCAGAGAAACACUAGGACAGAUGAAAACCUUAUUAAGAAGAUCCUUUAACUGCUCUUUUAGUUCCUUUAGUUUAGUUUGAUCCAUCCUAUAAGGAGUGGAAAUGGUAUCGGUAUCUGGUAGAAAAUUAAUCCUAAUUUACUUCUAUAUCGGAAGGAUAGGGAAAAACUUUAGGAAACUCAUCAACCAGAUGAUAGAUUGCAAAGAGAGACUUUUAGAGCUAGAAUCCUUAACCCAAACCAGAUAAUAUAGACGCCCUAUGGAUAUUAUUUAUUGAGCUCUAAGAUAAGAAAUAAACUUCUCUUUGGGCACUAAGGAACUCCCUUCCUAUUUAAUUACUGGUUUAUUUGGAAAAUAGAAACUGACCUUUCGAGUUCUAUAAGCUAAAGAAGAAUAGCAUUAAUGGAGCCAAUCCAUCGCCAAGAUUACAUAAAAAUCCAUCAUAUCAAGUUCUAUAACAUCCAGUAAUGUCUUUCUAUGAAGAAUGGACACCACACAACCCCUAAAAAUUUUUCUAGCAAUAAUAGGAUCACCUACUGGAGUAGACACAGAAAAGGGGUCAAAAAUAUUUCUAGAACUAAAAUCAAUGUGUAAAGAGACAUAAGGGGUCAUAUAAGAUAGGGUAAAACCCAGAUCAAUUAAACAAUAAAAACUACAAGAGAAGAGUUGUAACAUAAAUUGAUAAUGUUUGGUGAUGCCUCAGAUUCUUGAUGAGUAGCAAGUGCAUAGAGGUGAUUUCGACCAUUUUCGGUGCCUGAUGUGGUGCCCUUAGGUAGAGGAGCCGAAGAAGUUGAGAUCAGAAACUUAUUAGCUUCAGUGAAAACUUUAGUUAUCAGACAAUUUCAAUGCAAAUAACCAGGAAAACCACAAUUAAAAUAUAAAUUCCUUCCCUUCCCAUAAUAUCCAUAGUGAAGGUCCACAAAAUCAAUAAAGGAGGUAAGGUGGGGUCGACUGAGCUCCACUAACUUGAGACUGAAAACUGUUCCUUAGGACCACCACUAGCCUGAAAAUAACAAUCAUCGAUGACUGAGGAUAAGGAGCACUAACUGUCAAAUAAGAACUUUCCCAAUUCUUUUUCUUAGUCCAAUGUCUACUAUCCCUUCUUAUAAUACCCUAAACUUUUCCUUAAGCCUAAUUUCAUCUCUAGAGGGUUAAGAAAUGACUUCCCAAGUGAUUAACAUUUAAACCAUAUGGAUUUUCCCUAAUUUUAACUUUUUAUCAUGUGGGAAAUUUAAUUAGCUUUCCAACGAUAUAAGAUCCGCCCAAAUUCGAUAAACGGAUAAGAAGUUAUGGCUAAUAUAAGUUCUAGUCGUAAAACACCAUCAUUUUAGUGUUUGGUGUGUCGCGGAGAGGGUCUAUUUAACAAUUGUCAAAUUGCAGUAGAACUCCGCAAUAGUGGCGCAUCACGGAGGACCCCAAUUUCCCAAUAGUUAAUUUUCAGUGGCCUAGCACGAUCGUGACGCAUCGCGCUGAACUUCCAGAUCCCUACCGUGGGAUAACGCGAUGGCUUUACAUUGUGGUGCCUCCCAGAUUCCGAUUUUUCAAUUUCCAGUGAGCCACCGCGAUAGUGGCGCAUCACGGUGGCCCAUAAAAUUGGGUUUCCAGUUUAAUUUUUCCAGUUUUAUAAAGAAGUUAAAAAAGGCACUUUGGACUUUUUCCAAGCUUCUUAAACUAUUCAAACAUCAAAAUUUAGGGCCACUACAAGCAUCAUAUGAGAUUUUUCAAAAUUUCCCUCAAUCGAAAACCCUAAGUAUCCAAAAUCCUCUUCUAAGAAUCUCAAGGGUUCACCAUAGAUUUUCUAAAUUGAGUCAAGAUUCAAGAACCCUCAUUCAAGGGCACGACUAGAGUCCCAAAAGUGAAAGUUCAUCCAAAGCUUCCAAUUCAAGGUAUGUGGGGUUUGGACAAGAACAAUCCUUUCAUUUUUGUGCCUAAAUUAUUGAUUUUUAAUAAAGAAUUUCAUAUUUUUGCAAGCGGAUUUAUACUCAAAUUACUUUAUUUUGAGAUUAUGAGAUUACGAGUUGUUCAAGUUUUGAUUUGCAUGAUUAUUUCACUAUUUUAUGGCAUGAGUUGAGAAAUUAUGCUAUGAGUUGCACAUCAUCGUAUUGAUUUGAUAUUUUCAAGAUUGAUGUUGUGAUUUAAGCUUUAUUAUGAAACUGAGAUUAUUUGAUCAUGGGUAUAAGUUUUAAACCAAGUAUGAGUUUUGAUGUUUCUUGAAGAGUAUGUUGUUUAGUAUGAUUAAAUCAACAAGUACUUUGAGUUUAAAGAAAGAUUGCUUUGAAGCCUGAGUUAAGACAGGAAUCCACAUUAUUCAGUCUUUAUGAUUUAAAGCUAAGAGAAUUAUAAUUUGGUUUUCACUAUAGACCCUUGAGUUAUUUUGAGGUGGAUUUUCUAAAAAUGCUGAGCUUGAGUACGGGAGUAGUAUUUAGCACCGAGCGGGAAGUGCAGGUUUAGUGCAUCCUACUUUUCUAGAACUACGUGCCCUUGUAGGAUUGAGAUUUAUGGGCCUGAGGCCAAGAUAGUGAUCACUAGAGUUGAGGUUCUAUUUUGAUGGCAAGGGUAGAACAACUCUCCCCAAUAUGGGUGAGACAUUGGACUCCAUGUAGUUCACAUGGUUUAUGUCGAAUAGAAGAAACUCCCAAAUUUAUAAGAGUCUAGAGUUUUUUUCCAUGUCUUGAAGUUUCUAAAGUUCUAAGUCCUUGAGUUUCAAAGAAGUUCCAUUCUCCUCAAGAUGAAAUCAUGAGUUUAGAAAGCAUAGUUUAAAGAUUCCCUUAGCUUACAAGUUUUGAGAAUGAGAGAAGAAUAUAGAUUUUUGAGUUAAAGUAUAAUGACUCACGAGAUUUGUACUACAUGUUUCAUUAUUCCUGAUUUAAUAGAUUUAUGUUUCAGACUUAUUCAAGCCAUGUGAGUAUUCAUAUUUGCAUGCUAGAUUUUAUAAAGAGUAAUGAUAUUGUUUAUGUAAAUGCAUACACUCCCAUAUACUCAGUAAAUCCUCAAAGUGCUGAUCCACAUAUAGGUCUAUGUGCUGUAUUGUCUUAUAAUGUAGGUUCAGGUGCUCAGUCUCAACAUCGUUAGUGAUCUCCGAGUACCUUGAUCUACACUCUGCAGUUGGUGAGUCCUCAUAGUUUGAGGAUCUAUUUCUCAGAUCCUCAUAUUUGAUAUCAGUAUUUAUUUCUUUUCAAUUAAGUAUGAGUCAGUUGGGGAUUUGUCCCAAUGGCUCUCUAGAUCUUGAGUAGUAGAGGCUUUGUCAGACUAGAGUUUUAGAUGUUUGUCAGAUAUUUUUAGUAUUUUGUGUUUUUGACAUUAUAUUUUCAGUCUUUUCAAUUGAGAUUUAUUCUUAUUAUCUGAUUUUGAAUCCCUGGAGUAAAUAUGAGAUUUAGUAGUAGUCUCAAAGGGUUAGGUUAAGGCUACUUGUAGCAUUGAGCAUCGUGUGAUGCUUUGGGAUAAGAUUUUGAGGCGUUACAAACUUGGUAUCAGAGCCUAAGGUUUAAGGAGUCCUAGGGAGUUUGAAAAGCCAUGUUACGUAGAGUCUUGACCAUUGGUAUGAAACGCGCCACAUCUAUGAGCAAGAGGCUACGAGAUAUUUUAGGAAAAGUCAUCUAUUUCUUUUAGAGUUUAUCGUGCCUAUAACUAUCUCUAUCUGCUAUUAAUUCGUGCUCUUAUAUGAUAGAAAAUGCCUCCCCAAAGAGAAAAUGCCCAUAGGAAUAAUGAGCCACCUUAACCUGUUGAUCCCCUGAAUGAGAAUGCGACCCAUGCCGAAUUUUGGGCUACUUUCCAGACUUUUGCCCAAGCGGUGACUGCUAUUAUGCAGGAAAAUAAUCUGGUUGCUGUUUUAUGUCAGUAAGGGGUUGACGUAGCCACAGCCAGGCUUCGUGACUUUAUGAAGAUAAACCCACCCGAGUUCUUUGGGUCAAAUAUAGGUGAGGACCCACAGUUGUAUCUUGAGGAGGUGAAAAAAAUCACCCAGGUUAUGCAUGUGAAUGAGGAAGAGAGUAUAGAACUAGCCUCUUAUCAUUUGAAAGAUAUUGCUCAUGAAUGGGUUGUGGCAUGGAGGAAAAAUAAAGGGGAGAAUGCUGCUCCUAUAACUUGGCAGGUGUUCCAAGAUGCAUUCCUGGAUGAUUUUUUUCUGUUAGAGAUGAGGGAGGCAAAGGUAGAAGAAUUUAUAAACUUGAGGCAAGGCUCCAUACUGUAAAGGAGUACUGCCUUAAGUUCAACUAGUUGGCCAAGUAUGCUCCUGAGUUGAUAGCUAACACUAGAUUUAGUAUGAGUAAGUUCGUGACUGGUGUGUCCGGGUUGGUGUUGAAGGAGUGCAUAACUGCUAUGCUAAAUAAAGCUAUGGAUCUUUCUCGAUUGAUAACACAUGCUCAGCAGAUUGAGACUGAUAAGAUAGGGGAGAGAGAUAGGGUAAGGGGAAACAAGAGAGCUAAAUUAGAGCAAUAAAGUAUGUCUAGACUAGAUCCCAUGGAGGGAACGUCCUCAGUUUCAAAACCGUUCAUUUAUGCCUGCACCAUCAUCAGCUAGUGCUCCCGCACCUAUAUGUAGGCAAAAGUAGAGGAAUAGACCUUCUAUGUCUAAAUUCUAGAACUAUGUGAGUAAUAGACCUCGUGGUCCUCCAUACACUAAGUGUGGUAGGAACCAUCCUGAUGAGUGCUUAGCUGAUUAGAGGGGUUGUUUUAGUUGUGGUAAGUUAGGCCACAAACUUAGAAAGUGUCCGCAUGCCAGGUAGGGGAACCUUGAUGUUAGCCCCCAAAUGCAAGCUACCAAUGCACCAGCUCCUUUAUCCCGUCCCGCUCCCCCUUAGGGUGCUUCAUCUAGUACCGGUGGCGGUCAGUGCUAGAACUGAUUCUAUGCUUUUCUGGUAUUCACCAGAUAUGGUUACUGGUAUGCUUUGUAUCUUUCAUUUUGACGUGUCUGUAUUGUUGGACCCUGGGUCAAGUUUUUCUUAUGUGAUACCAUUGGUUGCUGUGAAUUUUGAGAUAAACUCUGAAAAAAUCCUUGAGCCUAUCCUAGUAUCUACCCCAGUAGGUGAGUCAGUUAUUGCUAAGCAAGUGUAUAAAAAGUGUCCCAUUGUUGGUCUUCAUAAAGUCAUGUUUCCUGAUUUGAUAGAGUUAGACAUGGUCGAUUUUGACCUUAUUCUGGGUAUGGAUUAUCUUCACUCCUGUUAUGUAUCUAUAGACUGUCGUACCCGUGUGGUUAAGUUUCAAUUUCUAGAUGAGCCAUUUUUUGAGUGGUCGGGUGGUUCUGUAUCUUCGAAGAGUUAGUUCAUAUCCUAUCUUAAAGCUAGAAAGUUGAUAUCCAAAGGUUGCAUUUAUCAUCUAAUUCGAGUUAAGGAUACUAAGUCUGAAACUCUAACUAUUCAGUCAGUCAAUAUAGUUAAUGAGUAUCCUGAUAUUUUUCUGAAAAAUUUCCCAAGGGUACCUCUCGAUAGAGAGAUAGAAUUUAGGAUUGACGUUCUUUCUGAUACACAACCUAUUUCUAUUCCUCCUUACCGUAUGGCACCCGUAGAGCUUAAGGAGUUGAAAUAACAACUCAAAGAUCUUCUAGAUAAGGUUUUAUAAGGCCCAGUGUCCCUCAAUGGGGCGCACCUGUCCUGUUCGUGCGAAAGAAAGAUAGUUCUUUGCGUAUGUGCAUUGACUAUCUUCAGCUUAAUAAAGUUACAGUUAAGAAUAAGUACUCUCUUCCGAGAAUAUAUGACCUGUUUGAUCAAUUGCAAGGUGCAAGUUAUUUCUUCAAGGCAGACCUUAGAUCCGGCUAUCAUCAACUUAAAGUAAGCGAGUGUGAUAUCCCUAAGACAGCCUUCCGAACUCGUUAUUGUCAUUUUGAGUUUCUUGUCAUGUCUUUCGGGCUAACCAAUGCUCCAGAAGCUUUCAUGGAUCUCAUGAAUCGAGUGUUCAAAUAGUAUCUUGAUAUAUUCGUCAUAGUAUUCAUAGAUGAUAUCCUUGUUUACUCUCGUAGUAAGGAUGACCAUGCAGAUCAUCUCCGAGCUAUUUUGCAAACUUUUAGAGAUCAUCAGUUGUUGGCCAAAUUCAGUAAGUGUGAGUUUUGGCUAAGGUCCGUAUCCUUUGUGGAUCAUAUCAUUUCAGCCAAAGGCAUUAGAGUCGAUCCCUAAAAGAUAGAAACUGUGAGAAAUUAGCCUAGACCUAUCUCUCUAUCCGACAUUAGGAGUUUCUUGGGUCUAGAUGGCUAUUACCACCAUUUUGUUAAAGGUUUCUCAUCUAUUGCAUCUCCCAUGACCCAAUUGACCCAAAAUAAAGUUAAGUUUCUUUGGUCAAAUUCUUGUAAGAAGAGUUUUCAGGAGUUGAAGACUCGACUCAUUUCAGCCCCGGUGUUGACUUUGCCUGAUGGUAUAGAUAGUUUUGUGGUGUAUUGCGAUGCCUCUAGAGUUGGCUUGGGUUGUGUGUUGAUGCAAAGGGGUAAGGCUAUAUCCUACACCUCUAGACAGUUGAAGCCGCAUAAAAAAAAAUUACCCAAUCCACGAUCUUGAGUUAGCUACUGUGGUCUUUGCUUUGAAAAUAUAGAGACACUAUCUUUAUGGUGUUCAUGUUGAUAUGUUUACUGAUUAUAAGAUUCUGCAGUAAUGUUUACUUAGAAGGAUUUAAAUCUUAGAUAGAGGAGAUGGUUAGAGUUGCUAAAAAAUUAUAAUAUGAGUGUGUUAUAUCUCCUGGGAAAGGCUAAUGUAGUGGCGAAUGCCCUUGCAGGAUGUCCACGAGUAAUGUUACUCAUGUAGAGGAAGACAAGAAAAAGUUAUCUCAUGAAGUGCAUCAUUUGAUUAGAUUGGGCAUUAGGUUGCUUGGUUCCGUAGAGGGGAAUAUUUUGGUUCAGAGUAGUUUCGAAUCCUCUUUAGUUUUGAAAGUGAAAGAGAAGCAAGACAGGGAUCCCAGUUUGGUCAGACUAAAAAAGUUACUUAGGGACCAAAAGGUAGAGGUUUUCUUCCAAGUGGGAGAUGGUGUGUUGAGAUUAUAGGGUAGAUUGUGUGUUUCUUUUGUUGAUGAUUUGAGGUAGAGAAUUAUGGCUGAAGCGCAUGGCGCAUGGUAUUUCAUUCAUCCCGGUGCCACCAAGAUGUACCACGACUUGCGAGAAAUCUAUUGGUGGAGUGACAUGAAGAAAUAUAUAGCGGAGUUUGUGGUGAAGUAUGCAACUUGCUUACAGAUUAAGGUAGAGCACCAAAGGCCUAGUAGUGUAAUGCAAGAAUUUAGUAUGCCUACUUGGAAGUGGGAAGAGGUGAACAUAGAUUUUGUGACUGAUUUACCUCUUUUACAUCAUCAUCAUGAUUCUAUCUGGGUUGUGGUAGAUAGGAUGACUAAGACAAUACAUUUCUUUUCUGUACAUACAUCUUAUACAACUGAGGAUUAUGCUAGAUUAUAUAUUCAGGAGUUAGUCGAAUUGCAUGGAGUCCCCUUGUCUAUCAUCUCAAAUAGGGGUACUCAGUUCACCUCCUAGUUUUGGAAAGCUUUUAAGAGAGGUCUUGGUACCCAAGUGCAUCUUAGUUCCACUUUUCAUCCUCAGUCGAUGGUCAGGCUGAGAGUACCACUCAAACCUUAGAGGAUAUGUUGAGGGCAUGUGCUUUGAUUUCAAGGGUAGUUGGGAUGAGCAUUUGCUAUUGAUUAAGUUUGCCUAUAACAAUAGUUACCAUGCUAGCAUCAAGAUGGCACCUUUUGAGGCAUUAUAUUGGAGGAGGUGUAGAUCACCUAUAGGUUGGUUUGAAGUAGGUGAAUCUGCUUUGGUUGGACCUGAUGCAGUGUUUGAGGCUAUGGAGAAAGUGAAGUUGAUUAGAGAAAGGUUGAAGGCAGCUCAGAGUCGUCAAAAGUCAUAUGCAGAUGUGAGAAGAAGAAACCUUGAGUUUAAAGUUAAUGAUUUGGUGUAUCUAAAAAUUUUGCCCAUGAAAGGGGUGAAAAGGUUUGGCAAAAAGGGGAAGCUUAGUCCCCGGUAUAUGGGCCCCUAUAGAAUCCUAAGUCAUGUAGGGAGAGUAGCCUAUGAGCUGGAGUUGCCCGUAGAGUUGUCAGCUAUGCAUCCUAUCUUUCAUGUCUCCACGCUUAAAAAGCACAUUGGUAAUUUCGUUGUAGUGGAUCCUUUGGAGAGCCCUGAUAUCUCGACUAGUCUUUCAUUUGAAGAGAUUCUAGUUGAGAUUCUAGACCACCAGAUCUGUAGACUGAGGAACAAAGAGGUUACCUUGGUCAAAGUGUUAUGGUGAAACCAUUCAGUCGAGGGUGCUAUUUGGGAAGCCGAGGCGGAUAUGCAAUCCAAGAACCCGCAUCUCUUCUCCGCGAGUUCAGAUCAAGCCGAAGGUACUAUUCUUCCUUAAUUCAGCCCCUUUCUCCAAUUAAAGUUUCUGCUAUAUAUAGCUAUCCUUAAUAUAAGUUGAUGCAUUAUCAAAGGUAUUCAAGAGUUUAAAAUGAUGUGGAGUCAGUUUAGCAAGUUGUUUCAGCUGUGCAUACUCAGUUUUCUCUGUAUCCUUAGCCUAACUAGCGACAAUCGAGGGCGAAUGUUCCCAAGGGGGAGAUAUUGUAAUACCCUAAACUUUUCCUUAAGCCUAAUUUUGUCUCUAAAGAGUUAAGAAAUGACUUCCUAAGUGAUUAACGUUUAAACCAUAUGGAGUUUCCCUAAUUUUAACUUUUUAUCAUGUAGAAAAAUUAAUUAGCUUUCGAACGAUAUCAGAUCCGCCCAAAUCUGAUAACCGGGUAAGAAGUUAUGGAUAAUCUAAGUUCUAGUCCUAAAACACCGUCAUUUUAGUGUUUGGUGCAUUGCGGAUAGGGUCUAUUUAAUAAUUGUCAAAUUCCAGUGGAACUCCGUGAUAGCGGCGCGUCGCGGAGGACCCCAAUUUCCCAAUAGUCAAUUUUUAGUGGCCUAGCACAAUCGUGGUGCCUCGCGCUGAAGUUCCAGGUCCCAACCAGUGGGACAACGCAAUGGCUCCGCAUUGUGGUGCCUCCCAGAUUCCUAUUUGUCAAUUUCUAGUGAGCCACCGCGAUAGUGGCGCAUAGCGGUGACCCAUAAAAUUGGGUUUCCAGCAUCAUAUGAGAUUUUCUCAAAAUUUUCCUCAACCAAAAACCCUAAGUAUCCAAAUCCUCUUCUAAGAAUCUCAAGGGUUCACCAUAGGUUUUCUAAAUUGAGCCAAGAUUCAAGGUUCUCAAGUCAAAGGCUUUAAGAAACCUCAUUCAAGGGUACGAAUAGAGUCCCAAAAGCGAGAGUUCAUCCAAAGCUUCUAAUUCAAGGUAUGUAGGGUUUGAACAAGAACACUCAUUUCGUUCUAGUGCCCAAAUUGUUGAUUUUUAUUAAAGAAUUUCAUAUUUUUACAAGCGGGUUUAUACCCAAAUUACUUUAUUUUGAGAUUAUGAGAUUACAAGUUGUUCAAGUCUUGAUUUGCAUGAUUAUUUCACUAUUUUAUGACAUGAGUUGAGAAAUUAUGCUAUGAGUUGCACAUCCUCGUAUUGAUUUGAUGUUUCCAAGAUUGAUGUCAUAAUUUAAGCUUUAUUAUGAAACUGAGAUUAUUUGAGCAUGAGUAUAAGUUUUAAACCAAGUAUGAGUUUUGAUGUUUCUUGAAGAGUAUGUUGUUUAGUAUGAUUCAAUCAACAAGUACUUCGAUUUUAAAGAAAGAUUGCUUUGAAGCCUGAGUUAAGACAGGAAUCCACAUUAUUCAAUCUUUAUGAUUUAAAGCUAAGAGAAUUAUAAUUUGGUCUUCACUAUAGACCCUUGAGUUAUUUUGAGGUGGAUUUCCUAAAAAUUCUGAGCUUGAGUACAGGAGUAGUAUUUAGCACCGAGCGGAAAGUGUGGGUUUAGCGCAUCCUACUUCCCCAGAACUACGUGCCCCUGUGGGAUUAAGAUUUAUGGGUCUGAGGCCGAGAUAGUGAUCACUAGAGUUGAGUUUCUAUUCCGAUGGCAAGGAUAGAACGGCUCUCCCCAACGUGGGCGAGACGUUGAACUCCAUGUAGCUCACAUGGUUUAUGUCGGUUAGAAGAAACUCCCAAAAAGGAUCAUGAACAUAAGAGUUUAAACCAUUAUCCUGAACUAUGUAGCUUGCUCCGUCCUAAAGGCAACCACGAGCUAUAUGGGCCCAUCUUCCCCCGCUGGAAGGGCCCUAGUGUAUGUUAGCCGCACGAAUCAAGAAAUGGAUAAAGACACCAAGGAGAUAGCCAUCCAAAAUAUAAUAUGCAUCCAGACACAUGGUCAUAUAUACCCCCAUACUGAAAAAUAUGAUUUUCAGUGUUGGUCACUUCGGGACACACCUUUACGGUGAGCUAAACAAUUCCCUUUAAUCCAAAAUUAAAACAGUUUGCACAUAAACCCGACCAUUAACCAAGGAGUCAUUUAUUAAGGAAUUUAACAACAUGGUAUCGUCAUACUAAUAUGCUUGUAAGCUAAUUCAGUUAUACCAAACCAGUCCAUAUAAUCGUUAGACUCCCAAGUUUUAUUUAAAAUUCAAAACCAUGACCAUUUAGGGCAUUCCAAAACUAUUUUUUUAUCCAUUUAUCCUUUAAUGCAAUACAAUGUUCCAAAGGUAAGUUAAAUUAUGAAAAUAUCCAUAUUUCAAAAUCAAUUUUACAAGGUGGGUUGAGGUAAUGUCAUUACUGUAGACAUCUAAUUUUGUCCCUUCCGAAAACCCUAAUUAUUCAUAUUUACUCUCAUCUUACCAGGUGUCCUACCCCGUGUAAUAAUCCUUUCACAAAAAGAUAAAAAUAACAAUCUUCUAACAACUUUUGAUACCUUACUCACACCCCUACCCACGUGUUCACCCUACCCUAGGUGUACCCCCAACCUCUUUGAUCACAUUUUUUCUUUCCAGGACCCAGCUACAUAUGAAAAAACAUACAGAAUGCGCAUAUAGACCCUUAGAUAGAGACAAAACAAAAAUAGAAAAAAGGAAGGGCCCACAGUGAAGGACACUCACAGAGUUCCAUUCCAUCACCACUCACCCCCCUCAUAUUUUUUCUUUCCUUUUUAAACAAAAAUAGACACAAUCCAUUUUUUUAUCACUGACAUCACUCACAAACCUUCGUCUUCUUCUCCAUACGAUAGAACACUAUAUAUGCACACAUAAUUUUCAUGGAACCUUUAACACAGAACCUCACCAUAUAUGCACAAACCCCUCACAGACACCAGCGUCCCUCUCCAUAAUUUUUCACACAACAAAAUUGCACACACACACUCACAUCUCUCAGAUUUACACACAAAAAUCACACACAUACACAUAUAAUUACCGCCAUAUACGAAAUCACCAGAAAACACACGCACACAUGCAUGCAGUAAGAAGAAAUGAGAUCAUGGAGGGUAUCUGAUGGAGGUUCGACGAUGAAACAGGGAAAACGGCGAGAAAUUCGGAUCCCUUUUGAGCUUUUUUCGGCAACACCUACACCAGAAUUAGUUUUUCCAUCGUCAGUUCGAUCGAAUCAGUCUCAUAAUCACGGAAAUAUCUUGAUCUUUCUUUGAUUUAGGGACAUCUUGGUCGGAAAAUGCAAGGUUUCACCGGAAUCCGUCUUGUUUUGUUGGUUUUUUGCCCUUCGUACCUUACCGGAGUUCGGAUUUGGACUGAUCUUUAGUUCACUAUUAGAUUUUGGGGCUUCUGGUUCGUCUAUUUUCUUGAUUCGUUCUUGAUCUCGUGCUUUGGGGUUUUUCGUGAUUAAAUCGUGUCUACAUUCGGAGUUUGGAUUUUAUGUUCGAGGUUUUUCUUCUUGGUUUGAAUUCUGUUCGGAUGGCGAUGUCGGGACACUGAUUUGGUGUGUUCGUCGUUGGGUUCCCUAUUCGAGGAUUUUGGUUUUGGAUUUCUUUAUUAUCGACGAAAACUUUCUUUAUUAUCGACGAAAACGAGUUCUAUUGAGGUCCAUUUCUUUAACCCAUUCUCAUUUUCUUUAUCUUGAUUUAUUGAAUUAGCUAUGAUUAUGUGUUUAUUGAUCAUGAUUGAAAUUUGAUGAUUUGGUAAAUGUUUGAUGUUGAGCAAUUGAUUGUGAUAUGAGUUUUGAUGUUAAGACAUGGAUAAUUGUCUCGUGAAAGUUGUAUGUUUAAAACGUAAUUUGGGGUGGAAUUAAGAAGUUGAUAAAAUAGUGAAUUUAGAUUAACUUUGGGUUUAUUGUUGUAUUCGAAAUAAGCAUGAAUGUCGUUGGAAUGCGAUGAAAUUAUGAUAUGUUGAAAUGGAUAGGUAAAUGUAGGUUCGGGUAGGCAAAUUUAGAACUUGUGUUUGGUUGAAUGCUUGAAUAUGCAUGGGGAUGUUUCUUUCUAGUUUAUCGUAUUUGAUUCAAGUAUAUUUAUUUGGCCGGGGAAUGCCCUGAGGUUUCAUGUAUUUAUUCACCGGGGAAUGCCCUACGUAUUCUGUCUUCGAAGGAGGUUCGUGAUCAAGGCCCGAGGCAUCGGGUAAAGCAUUGGAGCUUAGUCUAGGACUAGUUUAGAAUAGGUUUUAUAUUUUUCGUAUUUUUCUAUUUCGGACUGUAUAUCGGACUGGACACCAAAUUUUGGAUUAUUUUGUUUUGUUUGGUUGAUUGAUUAUUUUGCAUGUUUUGUGUGGUUUAUACAUUCGUAAUGGCAAAUUAGCUAAUUUGCUCCACCAAGCGACCGUGGUCGAACCAUGAAAUCGAGGGGUGCCUAACACCUUCCCCUCGGUCAACAGAAUUUCUUAGCCGAAAUCUUUGUUCGUGGAUCAGUUUUUAGAGUCAAACUAUUUUGAAAAAGGAUUUUCAAAGGUGACUUGGCACACCAAAUUUAUGUCAAAUGGAGAUUCUAAAUUUAAAUGUAAAAGAUCUUUUUCGAAAUAAAUUUUUAUUUUUGUCACUUAAUAAUAAAAAUUCUUUUAAAACUUUAAAAUCAUAAUCUUUUUUUAGUUAAAAAAGAGGUGUGACAAUUACCAAGCCAAAAUCCCAUCUAUUUGGGGAAACCCAUGUCACCCAUUCCAAUAUAUUUCAUAAUGCACUAAUUCAGUUCCAAAAACCAUCAAUUAAAGCAUGGAUAAUCCAUUUAAAAUAUGGUAAAAGAAAUUCAAGUAAAAAUAAUAAAAAUACCUCAACAUAAUUUCAAACCCAUCGAUUAAAACACAUAAAUAUAGAUUUAAUAAAUGUCACAAUAUAAAAUUUAAGAAGAAAUGAGAAAUAUUCUAGAAAUACCAAAGAAUUUGUAGAGAAAUCGAAGUUUGGAGCUUAAAUAGUGAAUUCUCUAUAAAAUCCUUGAGCUUUCUUGGGUUGUGAGUUAGACAAGAAAAGAAUGGAGUUUGAUCUUUUAAAACGAAUAAAAAAGGGUCACUUUAAUUUUAUAAAGUCGUUUAAGGGAUAAAAGGACCAAAGUCCCUUCACCCCAAGAGAAAAAAAUUGGAUGAAACAUACAUAACAGCGUGGCACGCUGCUAUCGUGGAGCUUAGCUUUCGUGCUAUGCCCUUAUCGCGGAGGCUAAGUGGAGUGGAAUGCCACUAUCACGGAGGCUUAUUGCCUCAGAGUCCAAAAAUGACUCCGAACUCCUUCCAAAAAUUUUGGAACUUUUUCAAAACACCCUUUAACACCUCUAAUCAUAAUUCAAGUUAAAAAUUAACAUUACGCACGCGGGAGGAUCAAAAGUGAAUUUAUUGAAAUUUGGCUGGGUUUAUCAGUUGGUGUUUUUCCAAAAUUUGCCCCAAUUUUGGUAGUGUAGAAAGUAUCUAAAUUUUGUUGUGAUGAGACCGAACCUUAUAUAGGUUGCCUGCAUAUCUCACUGAGAGAAUUGGUCAGAACAUAGUUCAAGAUACAUAAAAAUAAUUUGAAGUUUUUCUAAUAAAGGGUUGAACCCUCUAUGUGUUGCCUAUAUAUCCCUUCUAUGGAAUCAGGCUAAGGUUCGUAGGCAAGUUGAAUUUCCCCCGUCUUGAUUAAGGAAUCAAUCUUAUUUUUAAGACCAUAACAAUCUUCUAUGUCAUGCCAAACAACUCUAGAAUAAUAUGCACAAUACUUGGAACCAUCAAACUAUUUUGGAAUUGGAUCUGGGAUCUUUCCUUCAAUGGGUUGUAUCAGGCCUGCUGUUUUCAACCUUUCAAAUAACUGAGCAUGUCGGUAAACUAUUUUUGUACAUUUACAAGUGGUUUUGGUUUCAUGAUUUAGAUGGGCCUUGGGUGCAGUAUAUAUGCGACUUUGGUGGGCUAGAGCUUGGACAAGUAGAUAUGGAUGUGGAGUUUGGAAAGUAAGGGCUCGAGGUUGGUAAUAAUUUACAUGGGUGUUGUAGAAAAGAUAAGUAGUUGGUGGAGGAUAGUAAAACAUUUAGGAAUUUUCACCAUAUUAGUAAGGAUAAAUGAGUUGAUGUGGUUGAUUUAGGUAGAUAGAAGUCUGACUUGGAUUGUAUCUUUGGUCAAUCAUGGCAACAGAUACAUCUUCCUUCUUCUUCUUAUUCCCAUUGAUAGAACCAUAUUUAAUUGCUUUGCCUGCAGCUUGCAAGGAAGUAUAGUCUUGGAUUCUCCUUGACUAAUCCCAUCUUCCAAGAUUUCUCCCAUUCUAACAACUUCCGUGAACUUUUGUUUCAUCGUGGUUAUUAUUUUUUCAUAGUACAAACUAUUAUCUUGGCAUUCAAUAAAUAUGACAGUCAUUUUACUUUCACUCAUCAUUGGUUGGACUUUAGCUGCUUCUACCCUCCAACUCAGUGCAUACUUUUGAAAUCUCUCAGACAAUUUCUUUUUCAACUUGGCCAAGCAGAACCUGUCUAGUAUGAUUUCAAUGUUGAAUUUGAAUCAAUCCUUGAAGUAUUGUGCCAUAUCAUUCCAUCCACGCUAUUUAUGAAGAUCUUAUUGUAUGUACAAAGUGAGAGCUUCACCAGACAAACUUCUUAUAAACAACUUCAUUCUGAUCAUUUUAUUUCGCUCUACUCCUACCAACAAUGGAUGGUUUGCUUGGUCUUUUUUCAAAGACCCCUAAUUUUUUCUCUCUUUAGCGAAACCCUAAUAUUUUUUUAUGAGUGAUUUAGGCCGCCAUGGCCUCAACGUUCGGUGGGCUUCCCUCACCGGCGAAUCUCAUGCAUGGAAAGGAUGACAAAAGCAAUGCUAAUAUACGGGAAGGGAAUAUGAAAACUAAUGCCAAUUUGUUGAAAUCUCGAGUGGACACUAGUAAAGAGUAAAUAUUGCCGAAGUUUGUUGAGAUAAUUUAAGAAGAACCAUAUAUUACAUGAAAAUCAUUAGAGAUUAACAAUUUAACAAUACAAGAAAACAUACAAUAUGCAGUAAUUGGUAAGUUUUCUUAUGGCAAACUUGACAUUAUUGAGCUGCAAAAAAAUAUACCGAUUCAGUAUGGCAUUAAGGGAGAUUGUAACAUAGGAGUAUUGGAUUCAAGGCAUAUACUUAUCAAAUUAAGUAUUAUGGAAGACUAUGUGAACAUUAUAUCUACUGUUGCAUACUAUAUAAAGGUUAUGGAGAUGCAAUGGCAGAUGAGGACCCUUAAAUGGGAUCCGAGGUUUGAACCUGUUGUGGAAACAAUAGUAGUUAUAGCAUAGAUAUCAAUGCUUGAUCUUCCACGUAAUUAUUUUUGCAAAAGAAGCAAUAUUUUCAAUUGCUUCAACUAUGGGUAAGCCUUUAACGGUAGAUAUGGCAACAAAGAAUCAAAUACGACCAAGUUGUGCAAGAGUAAAGGUAGAAGUAGAUCUAAUUGCUACAUUACCUCAAAGAGUGAAGAUUUGUGAAGAAGAUGAUGUCAUAGGGAUGGAGAAAUCUAAAUAGAUAAAUAUUCAGUAUGAUUACAAUCCUGAAUACUAUAAAAAAUGUUGUCUUCAAGGUCAUAGUGAACAAUUAUGUUGGAAUAUUCAUCCAGAAUUAUUCAAAAUACAGAAGGAGGACCAAGCUGAAAAUUCUAAGGUUCAAUCCACAGGAAAACACAUCAAGAAGAAUGGACAAAUGGAGAAGGUAGGAGGUAAUAGAAGGAAUUUCUCCAAACAAUGGUUAACAAGGAGGAAUAGGUACAGGAGGGACAAAUAUGGGCAUAUAAUAGGAGAAGCAAACAAGACAAGAGAUGCUUCUACCCUCUAAUUCAGUGCAUACUCUCGAAAUGUUUUUGCCCUCUAACACAUUUUGCCUUUUGGACUAUGCAUCUUUCUUUAUUUCCUCAUACUGCUCUACGUCAGGUUGGAACUUGACCACUAUUGGGUUGGUAAAGGUUUGGAUUUCCACUGCAUAUAUGGGAGGAACAUGUGUGUAAAGAGUAGCUACAUGUUCCCCUUGUAUAUACUAGGCAGGAUAAUUUUGCAUAGUAAGAUUAUUUUGGAUUGGAGUUGGUAGGGGAUUACAGGGGGUAUUAACGAGUGGUUGGUUUGGUUAGUUUGAAGGAGUAGUUGUAGGUAAUGGAUAAGUAUGAGUACGUGGAGAAACAUAAGGAAUAUGAACUGGAGGUUGAUUUGGUGGGUUAAUAGGCAGUGGAUUAGGAAGAGUAGCAUAGGUAGUUUAGGUGGGUGGUUAACUUUGUGGAGGGAUGUAGUUUGGUGGUCUAUUUGGUGGAUUUGUUGAGAUGGUUGGAGGUAGAUUAUUGUUAGUGGGUGGGGGAUGUUAAGGAAGAAAAUGUUUGGGAAUUGGUCAAUCAAGUGAUGGAAAACGUGGUGGGUUUGAUAUGGUAUUUCUGGGUUCAGGAGGUGGACUUUAGAGUGUGAUGGAUAAGUUGGUCAAAUCCUUAAACCGAUUCAAUUCUCCCCGUAGAUCCUCAACUUCAUGAGUUAAACGAGCAACAUGCUCAUCAUGUUGGAUAACAACUCUAACUUCAGAGGUUUUUAGGAGGUUCACUGAUAAUCGUAUUUCCCAUACCAAUUGGAUUUAGUAUAGUUGGAUCAGACAUAGUGAUUUUUCUUCCUUGAACAGCCCAACUACGUCGAGGUAAUGCCGAUGACUUGGAUCUGGUGAAGUAAGGGUGGUUAGCCAGCUCGAUUGUCAACACGAUCAACCUCUUUCGGGGUAAAGAAAGUACUUCAAAAAUACAAAGACAAAGAGUUAGUUUAGGUCUUAUAUAAGUGCAUUCACAUUGAGUUAAACAUUCAUAUAACGUCAAGCAAACACGUCCUAUAUUUUGAAACCUCUUUUUGCCAGAGGUGGGCCUAUAUUCAAAUAAAUUGACGUAGAUGGAACCAAAUUUUGUCACAUUUGGAUUCAAAACAAUUUAGGAUUUUCGAAGAGAGAAUAGAAAAGUCAAGAUAGUUGUGAUGACGAUAACAAAAGAUUUUGUGAGGACGUACAUUAGUACGAAAGGAUAGGGAGGGCUAGAAUGGCCCUUUUGAAAAAGGUGAUACAAAAGGAAGAAAGAAUCUCAAGGACAUAUAGCUAGUUAAAAGACACUUAAGGAUAUCUAAUGAAAACAAUUUGUUGAUAACAACAGAUAGUCAUAGAUUAGAAAUAAAGAGUCAAACGAUGCUGGGGAUGAAAUAUAUCCCACAACUGUUUUCAUUAAAAAUAUAUCAAACAAAGGUGGAGCUUUGUCUAAUACUCCAAGUUUGUUGAGUGUAAGGAGGAAUUCAAGUAUUAGGGGAAGAUUUGGUAAUAUCCUAAUACCCAUUUGAUUAGAUUUAUAUGGAGUCUUUGAUAAUACUCUACAACUAUGGACUUGAAAAGGAAAUCGAAUAAACAGAGGUUUUUUGUUUUAGAAAAACUACUCCACAUAAUUGAUGGAAUUAAAGGAAGAUCAAUAAAAUUGUACUGAAUUAAUUUAACAUAGAGUACGUCGUAAGGUAUAUAACCUUCUGACAAAAGGGUGGCUUUCUAGUCGCAGAGAUGAUACCUUUGAUCGUCCUGUCUAAGGUGUAUGCAACAUGACCUAUUUCUAGAGUAAGAGUUUUUCCUAAAUGCUUGAGAGUACGACUGAAUAGCUACGAGAAGGCGCACUAAGCUAAUUGCACCGACUCUAAAACUAAGGAAUCCAAAGAAGAUUUGGAGAAGUACGAGACCCCCCUCCCGCGUGAACCACAGUGUUUGAAUUGUGUACGACCAAAGACUCGAUAGAAAACUGCAAAUAAAAAAGUACUAACAAGUAGUGUUUUCGAACAAACAAGGAGCGCAAGUUUGGAUUUAGCUUGUGCCCUUUUAAACAAAGCAGGAUACAAAUAUCGAUAAAGUAAAUAAAGUAAAAAAUCAUAUACUCCCAAAUAAUAAUCCUAAAACUAAGCCUACUAAAGCGAAAAUCUAUUAAAUCCCCAAUGGAGUUGUCACGCUGUCGCACCCCAUUUCGAACCGAUCGAAACAAUCCUCAACAUAAUGUGAUCGUGAUGACUUUUCUGAUUUUGAAAAAUUAUUUGCUUUUGCGUCGCCACCUAACUUUUAUGAAAAAUCUAGGAAAAUCAUUUUUGUAAUGUGAAAACUCUAUAUAUAGUCUGCAAAAAUCAGUGAGACUCUAAGUAAUGUUAUGGUUACUCGAGAGGAAGGUAUUAAGCACCCCUCAGAGCCUAUUCGACGAUAGCCCUUAAACUUAGUUCUUAGAAAAACAUUUGAGAAAUAUUUGCCUUAGUUAUUUGCUAAAGAAGGGAUUAGAAUUUUUUUAAUUAUUUUGAAAAAAGAAACUCAAGAUAUAUAAGACGUAACACCACCAUAUAUAAAAAAAUAAUAUAGUUAUUGCAAAAUGUAUACAUUUUAAAAUAUGAAAAAAGGAUGCGUUGUAAUAAACAUUUGUUAGAGAGUAAAAGGUCUUGUGAGUUUAUAAAAAAUGUAAGAAAUCGAAGUAAGGGAACAAAAUUAUUAUAAAGUAAAGAAAAGGUAGUUUUAAAGUAUAUGAGAAAUUAUUUAGUAGGAGAAAAAUAUAAAUACAUGUAUAUUUUAAAGUAUAAGAAUAGAUAUGAAAAUUCAUUAAAUUGUGAAAUCUCAGUAGAUUAAAAAUAAAAUUGUAAUAGUAAAACACAUAUGUAAAAUAAAGUUGAUAUAACAUGUAAAUGAUAAAAUAAUAAUAAUAUAAUGGUAAGAGAAAGAAUAGUAAUAGUAAGAAUAUACUUUAUAUAUGGUAGUGCAAGAACACAUAUUUGCUUUGUGUUUUUGGAGACUUUUAAAAUCUGAAAACUUAAAAUAAAGUUAAGAAUAAAUAUGAAAUGUAAUAAGCACAUAAAUUAUAUUGGAUUAAAUGAAAAAUUGAAUUUGAAAGAUGAGUUGCUUGCAAACAUAAGCGGGUAGACUAAUUGGAAUCUAUUACAGAGAUUUAUUUGAAAAAACUCUAAUUAAGGUGAUAAAAUAGUUAGUUAAUAUUUUGUAAAAACAAAUACUAUAACUAGCCAUUUUAUUCAAUUCAAAAAAGUUUUCCCAUUUGAGAUUGUUCUUAUAAAGAACAAAGUUUGCCAUUUAUUCUAAGAAGUUGAUUCGUAGGUGCAAAUUGUAAAAAAAUAAGUGGUCAAACCAUGGACCAUUACUAUACCUGUGAACAUCGAAUGAACAUGAAAUUGACUGAAUAAGAUCAAUUUCGGAUGAUUUAAAAUAUAAACGGAACUAAAAAAUGUGAAGUUAAUCAAACCACAUAAAAUACAUAUUCAAAGUGAUACAAAGUUAGUAAAAUAAAUACCAAUGAUAAUAAGAAUUUGUAGAGAAAGUAAAGGACUAGAUACACUAAUUUCUUUUUUGGAGGAAACCACUUCUAACGAUGCAAAUCUCGAAAGUUGACGAUCCUAUAGCCGUGGAUCCGAUACUAUGGGUUGAAUUGAGCUCCAUUGUGAAAUUCUAGCUCCCAAAUGUACAUAAACAAAAGGGAAAAAUAAGGAUUAGUGGCCGAUUAACAAGAAAGACAAAAAGUGUAAAGGUGAUUUAAAGGUUCAAGUUCCAAAUCAUAAUCUCCAAAAUCACUAAUUUAAUGUUCGUAUACAUAUAUUUUUUUGUGGUAAUAAGUAAUAUAGGAUUCUAACAAUUCCGAACCAACACAUAAUUGCAUACCGCUAACCGGUCCCAUGAACAGAGUUAUAUUUCCAGGCUACAGAAAGUUUGUACAAGUGCUAGGAAAUACUUUGGCAAAGAGUUAAAGAAAACAAGAAUAAGCACAUUCAAACACACAGAGACUCUAGAAUUACUCGGAGGUAGUUCGAAUACAUAUUCAGACUUAAAUUAAACAUAAGUAAAAAUAAGAAGGGACAAACAGUGAGAAAACAGAAUAACAACAACUUUAUGUUUCAACUAACAAACUUGUAGUCAUUCUUCAUUUUAAAAAAAAGAAUCAUGUAUGAAGUACGUUAUAGGAAAGUCACAAUGUAAUUUAGUCGAAUCCGUCCAUGCGUUUUAUGUUCAAGAAAAUGGACAAUGAUAGAAAACACACACAUACUAUAGUUAAAAUUCACAUUGUGUGUAAAUUCUAGCAGAAAGAUAACAAUAGAAUUAAGACAGGAUGGAAAUCACUCUUUCAGUUAUUCACGAGGCCAUAUUAGGCUCACAAUGAAACAUUUAAGGAAAUAAAACAACAGCACCAACAGUCCUAAAACAAAACAAACACCGGUAUGCACAUAUCUACAAACCCACGCAUUCACAUACAAAUAAUUUUUAGAAAAAAAUAUUAUAUUUUAUCCGCAAAGGUGAUGAAAAACCAACAACAACCAAAUUUAAGAAUUGAACAAAAUCAAACAUUCAUAAACCAAACGAGAUGGAGAAAAAAUGAGCAAAGAAAUUAAAGGGGCAGAUUCACCCAUAUCAGUACACUUAAAACAAAAUCAUAUUCCUAAAUUAAAUUCCAGAAUAAUAAACAACAACACCAUAGAUAGACCUAAAAUAAAUUAAAUCCCCCAUUCACGACAUUCAAAAAAUGACUGACAAAGAAGAUGUGAAGGCCACAGAAAAGACGGGUGAUUACCUUGUGCAGCAGGCUUGGUGAUUACCAUGUGUUUGCCAUUUAUUCUAAGAAGUUGAUUCAUAUGUGCAAGACUGUAAUAAAAAAUAAGUGGUCAAACCAUGGACCGUUAUUAUAUCCAUGUGCAUCGAAUAUGAAAUUGACCGAAUAAGACCAUUUUCGGAUGAUUUAAAAUUUAAACAGAACUAAACAAUGUAAAGUUAAUCAAACCAGACAAAAUACAUAUUCAAAGUGAUACAAAAUUAGUAAAAUAAAUACCAAUGAUAAUAAGAAUAUGUAGAGAAAGUUAAGGACUAGAUAUACUAAGUUCUUUUGUGGAGGAAAUCACUAUUAAUGAUGUAGACCUCGAAAGUUAACGAUUCUAUAGCUGUUGACCCGAUACUAUGGGUUGAAUUGAGUUCCAUUGUGGAACUCCAGCUCCCAAGUGUACAUGAAAAAAAAGAAAAAAAAUAAGAAUUAGUAGCCGAUUAACUAGAAAGACAAAAGGUGUAAAAGUGAUUUAAAGGCUCAACUUUCACAUCAUAUCUCCAAAAUCACUAAUUUAAUGUUCAUAUACAUAUUUCUUGUUGUGGUAACAAGUAAUAUAGGAUGCUAGUAAUUCCAAGCCAACACAUAAUUGCAUACUAAUAACCAUCCAACAUAGUGAUGGAAAAAGAAACAUGAUAUCCUACAGGUUGUUCCUAUGAGCAGUGAUAUAUUUUCAAGCUAAAGAAAGUUUGUACAAGUGCUAGGAAAUAACAAGGAAUGUAACAAUGAGGAUAUUAAACUUUUACUUUGGUAAAGAGUAAAGGAAAACAAGAGUAAGCACAUUCCAACACACAGAAACUCUUGAAAGAUUUGAUGGUAGUUCGAAUACAUACCCAGACUUAGAUUAAACGUUAGUAAAAAUAAAAGGGACAAAUAGUGAGAAAAUAGAAUAACAACAACUUUACCAUUUGUAGGGGAUGCGGAUAACUAAUUUAUGAAAUAGAUUUAGUAUAUAUAUAAUGAAUCUAUUUUUCUUUGUGCGUGGAUAUUUCUUGAAUUUUGUUUCAAUAUUUUUUAAUGAUUUAUUCUUUUCGUAAGAUGUAUUCAUUAAUUUGUUUGGUUUAUUAUUUUAUCCUGUAGUAAUUGCAGAGUUACAAAUUUCUGUAUAAUAAUUUAUCCUAACUGUACUGUAAUGUAUAUCUAAUUCUAGAUUUUCNNNNNNNNNNNNNNNNNNNNNNNNNNNNNNNNNNNNNNNNNNNNNNNNNNNNNNNNNNNNNNNNNNNNNNNNNNNNNNNNNNNNNNNNNNNNNNNNNNNNNNNNNNNNNNNNNNNNNNNNNNNNNNNNNNNNNNNNNNNNNNNNNNNNNNNNNNNNNNNNNNNNNNNNNNNNNNNNNNNNNNNNNNNNNNNNNNNNNNNNNNNNNNNNNNNNNNNNNNNNNNNNNNNNNNNNNNNNNNNNNNNNNNNNNNNNNNNNNNNNNNNNNNNNNNNNNNNNNNNNNNNNNNNNNNNNNNNNNNNNNNNNNNNNNNNNNNNNNNNNNNNNNNNNNNNNNNNNNNNNNNNNNNNNNNNNNNNNNNNNNNNNNNNNNNNNNNNNNNNNNNNNNNNNNNNNNNNNNNNNNNNNNNNNNNNNNNNNNNNNNNNNNNNNNNNNNNNNNNNNNNNNNNNNNNNNNNNNNNNNNNNNNNNNNNNNNNNNNNNNNNNNNNNNNNNNNNNNNNNNNNNNNNNNNNNNNNNNNNNNNNNNNNNNNNNNNNNNNNNNNNNNNNNNNNNNNNNNNNNNNNNNNNNNNNNNNNNNNNNNNNNNNNNNNNNNNNNNNNNNNNNNNNNNNNNNNNNNNNNNNNNNNNNNNNNNNNNNNNNNNNNNNNNNNNNNNNNNNNNNNNNNNNNNNNNNNNNNNNNNNNNNNNNNNNNNNNNNNNNNNNNNNNNNNNNNNNNNNNNNNNNNNNNNNNNNNNNNNNNNNNNNNNNNNNNNNNNNNNNNNNNNNNNNNNNNNNNNNNNNNNNNNNNNNNNNNNNNNNNNNNNNNNNNNNNNNNNNNNNNNNNNNNNNNNNNNNNNNNNNNNNNNNNNNNNNNNNNNNNNNNNNNNNNNNNNNNNNNNNNNNNNNNNNNNNNNNNNNNNNNNNNNNNNNNNNNNNNNNNNNNNNNNNNNNNNNNNNNNNNNNNNNNNNNNNNNNNNNNNNNNNNNNNNNNNNNNNNNNNNNNNNNNNNNNNNNNNNNNNNNNNNNNNNNNNNNNNNNNNNNNNNNNNNNNNNNNNNNNNNNNNNNNNNNNNNNNNNNNNNNNNNNNNNNNNNNNNNNNNNNNNNNNNNNNNNNNNNNNNNNNNNNNNNNNNNNNNNNNNNNNNNNNNNNNNNNNNNNNNNNNNNNNNNNNNNNNNNNNNNNNNNNNNNNNNNNNNNNNNNNNNNNNNNNNNNNNNNNNNNNNNNNNNNNNNNNNNNNNNNNNNNNNNNNNNNNNNNNNNNNNNNNNNNNNNNNNNNNNNNNNNNNNNNNNNNNNNNNNNNNNNNNNNNNNNNNNNNNNNNNNNNNNNNNNNNNNNNNNNNNNNNNNNNNNNNNNNNNNNNNNNNNNNNNNNNNNNNNNNNNNNNNNNNNNNNNNNNNNNNNNNNNNNNNNNNNNNNNNNNNNNNNNNNNNNNNNNNNNNNNNNNNNNNNNNNNNNNNNNNNNNNNNNNNNNNNNNNNNNNNNNNNNNNNNNNNNNNNNNNNNNNNNNNNNNNNNNNNNNNNNNNNNNNNNNNNNNNNNNNNNNNNNNNNNNNNNNNNNNNNNNNNNNNNNNNNNNNNNNNNNNNNNNNNNNNNNNNNNNNNNNNNNNNNNNNNNNNNNNNNNNNNNNNNNNNNNNNNNNNNNNNNNNNNNNNNNNNNNNNNNNNNNNNNNNNNNNNNNNNNNNNNNNNNNNNNNNNNNNNNNNNNNNNNNNNNNNNNNNNNNNNNNNNNNNNNNNNNNNNNNNNNNNNNNNNNNNNNNNNNNNNNNNNNNNNNNNNNNNNNNNNNNNNNNNNNNNNNNNNNNNNNNNNNNNNNNNNNNNNNNNNNNNNNNNNNNNNNNNNNNNNNNNNNNNNNNNNNNNNNNNNNNNNNNNNNNNNNNNNNNNNNNNNNNNNNNNNNNNNNNNNNNNNNNNNNNNNNNNNNNNNNNNNNNNNNNNNNNNNNNNNNNNNNNNNNNNNNNNNNNNNNNNNNNNNNNNNNNNNNNNNNNNNNNNNNNNNNNNNNNNNNNNNNNNNNNNNNNNNNNNNNNNNNNNNNNNNNNNNNNNNNNNNNNNNNNNNNNNNNNNNNNNNNNNNNNNNNNNNNNNNNNNNNNNNNNNNNNNNNNNNNNNNNNNNNNNNNNNNNNNNNNNNNNNNNNNNNNNNNACUGGUUUUAUUUCGUCAUAUAAUAUCUCUGCUGGUGCAGUAUACCACUUUAUAUAAAAUAAAUUUCCUUUUGUUAUUCUUUUGUAGGUGGUGAAUAUCUUGUGUAAUUCUUCCAUAGCUGUUAAUUCUUCUCCGUCUUGGGUGUAUAUGGUGUUUAAUAGUCCAUAGUCAAAACAGGUUUUUACUAGGCUUGGGUUAGUUUUGGGUAGUGCUAUCAGUUUAUUGUAUCCUUGUAAUUUUUGGGUUAUAUAGUUGGUGUUUGGUUCUUUGAUGUUUGUAGCUCUGGGGUUAUGGUUUAGAAAAGUUUGUACUCUGUAGAUAUUUUCUAUGUAUUUCUGGGUUGUGUAGUUGUAAACUUUUUUAUCUUGGUUCAGACUAUCUCGGUAUAUGGUAAUUUGUGGGGGUAUGAACAAGGGGUCUUUUUGUGUUUUUGGUAUAAAUGGUUUCUCAAAUAUCUUAUUCAUAUUCAUGUUCUGAUAUCAUUGUCUACUAACUCCUUUGCUUGUACCUACAGAAGUAGAUUGAUAAACGUUAUGGGUCUUAUGGAGUGUCACAUCGUCUCCUUCUAUCUCUGGAACUUUAAUGUCUUUCGAUCGACAUAGCUCUGCACAUUGCUGAGUUAGCUGAUUUGUAGCUAUAGACUUCAGUUUAUCUUCAUUAGUCUUUAGCUUUUCUAUCUCAUUACCCAUACUGUCCACUUUCAUUGAAAGCGUAGUUAGGGUGUUAAGUAUUUUUUCUAGAGUAUCUUCUUCUAUUAUUUCAGUCUGUGUAGCUUUGUCUUAAUAUGUAAUCUGCAAUUACAUUUUUGUUAGUACUGAUCACUUCAAUUGUAAAUGUGAAAUUUAAUAUAUUCAAGACUAGUCUCCGAAUCUCUUUUGUUGUAACUAAAUUUUAUAUUUUCUUUGUUAACCACUAGAGUACCUGUGUAUUAUCUGUUCAUAUAAUAAAUUUGUUAUACACAAUAUAUGACUCAAAUGCUAACAAACAUUUAUAUAAUGAACAUGAUUCUUUCCUAUUUAUUUCCCAUUUUAUUUCUGUCUCAUUGAACGUACCUGAGUAGUAUCUACAAUGGUGUUCUAUUUUUUCUGCUUCAUAUCGAUAUUUAAGUACUCCUCCAUAACUAUAUUCACUAGCAUCUGCUUCUACUAUAUAUAUAAAUUUUCUAUUUUCAUCUGGAAAUUGUAAUUUUGGUAAUUCUUUACAAAGUAAUUUUAUUUUUUGAACUUGUUUUUUAUCUUUUUCAUCAUAGUUAUAUUCUAUAUCCUUUUUUAAUUUUUUCUGUAGUGGUUUUAAAGUUUCUGCUAAUUUUGGAAUAUAUUCUCUUACUUGGUUUACUAAUCCUAAAAAUGAUUGUAAUUUCUUUUUUGUAUCUAAUUCUUCUUUCGAAUUUAUUAUUUUUUGUACUAUAUGUUGUUGCAUUUUUACUCCACUUUUAUCUAUUUGUAUUCCUAAAAAUUCUAUCUGGUUUUUCAUAAUUUCAGCUUUCUUUUUGCUUAGACUUAUUCCUGAUUUUUCUAUUAUAUCUGUGAACUGUUCUAAUAAUUUUAAAUGUUCUUCUUUAGUUUUUGUAUAUAAUAAUAUAUCAUCUAUGUAUACUAUACAAUUAGAUAAUUGUUUAAAAUAAUUAUCCAUAAAAUGUUGAUAUCUACCUGGUGCAUUUUUAUAUCCAAAUGGUAACACGUUCCAUUCAUAAAAUCCUUGUGGUACCGUAAAUGCGGUUAAUUCUUUAGAUUCUUCUUCUAGCUUUAGGUGGUAAAAUCCUGAUUUACAAUCAAAUUUGCUAAAAUAAUUAUAUCCUUGGAUUUGUCUUAUUUUUAAUAUCUUAUUUGGUAUCGGAUAAUUAUAUGUUAUAGUUUUUGCAUUUAAAUUUCUAUAGUCAAUAACCAUCCUACUUUUUCCUCUUUUUUGUUCACUAUGUUUAUUUACUAUAAAUGCUGGACUAUUAUGUUUACUAUUACUUUUUUGUAUAUAUUGUUUUUCUAAUAAUUCAUCUAUGUGCAUUUUAAAUUCUUUUAAAUCAUCAAAAUUAUAUGUUAAUGGUUUUUGUGUUAUUAUGCUAUUCUUAUCUAUUAAUUCAAUUUUUAUAGUAGUUUUGUGUUUUUCCCAUCCUUUUAAUGGAUCUUCACUAUAUAAUUGUUCUAAUUUUUUCUGAAUUAUUUCUAUUUUAUUUAUUGAAAAUAUAGUUAUUUCUGUUUUAUUUAUCGAAAAUACUACUAGUUCUACUGUAUCUUCAGUAUUUUUUAUAUUUUCUAACUUUUGUGUAAUUUUUUCACUUCCUUUUAUCCAAUCAGUUUUCUUUCUUAUUUUAUUAUUAACUCUUUUUGCUCUUACUUUUUGUUUGCAUGGUGUUGUAAACCACCAGUCUGUUUUGGUUAUUAUAUGUGGGUAUAAUUUAUCUAAAAAUGGCAUUCCUAAAAGUAUAUCUUUUGAUGUUAAUUCAUAAUUAUAAAUUUCUUCUAUUGUUAAUAUCUUAUCCCAUACUUGUAUUUUUACAUUCCUAGCUUUAUAAGUAAUUAAGCUUCCUUCAUUAUUAAAUCCUUUAACUAUUAUUGGUGUUUUUAGUUUAUCCCAUUUGCUUUCUGGUAAGCAAUUAUAUCUACAUAAAUUAGCUUCUGCUCCUGUAUCUAUCAUAGGCGUAUAAUAUCUACUGUAAUAUCCUUCUACUACUAUCUUCAUUAAUACAUGUAUCUUCAUUUCAUGUUAAGGCUCUUUUUAAGAAUAACUUUUCUUGGUUAUAUGUUAAGGUUAAUUGUGUAUGUUCUAUAUUAUAUGGUUUUACUUGUUCCAACCAUUUUAUUCCUAAUAUUAUAUCUGCUUUUUGCAUUUCUUCCUUUACUUCGAAUUCUAUUUUUAUUUUUCUAACUCCUAAUAUUAUUUCUUUUUCUGCUAGAUUUUUAUUAUUUAUUAAACUUCUUGGUAAAUCUGGGCAUAUAUUAUUAUCGGUUUUUAUUUCUUCAUUUUUUACUAGAUAUUUUGCUAUAUAAUUUUCUUCUUGUCCUGUAUUCAAAAGUAUUAGAUAUUCUUUUUCAUUUAUUUUUCCCGUUAUGUAAUAUUGGUUUAAAUUACUUAUUGAGUUUGUUUCAUAACUUGUUCUUUUUGAUGAGCUUGAUGAUUCUGGCUUUUCAUUAGCUAUUCUUUUCGUUGUACUUAUUCUAUCAUUUACUAUUUCUAAAUUUUCUUCUGUAUCUAUGUCUCUAUAGGUAUAAUCAUUAUAAUCUAUUGUUUUUACUAUUUGUUCGAAUGGGCUUUCUAUUUGUAUUUUGUUAAUCUUAUUUUUUCCUGUUAUUUUAUGUUUUGUUGUUAAUACAUAUAGGUUUUUACAUCUUGCUGUAAAUAUUUUACUUCCUGGGGUUAACUCUAUUCCUGAUAUUUUCCAAUAUAAUACUAAUGAUUUAUCUAUAUUCCUAUCUGUUACUGCUACUGAAUAAUUUGCACUUAUUAUAAAUUUAAAUUUUUGGUAUAUUAGAUUUCCUUUUACGGCAGUUAUUAUGCUUUUUUCUAUAGGUUUUAUAAUUCUAUCGUCUGCUAAAUAUAAUUCUAUUGGUGUAUCUAUUCCUUCUCUAAAACAUGCUUUUAUUAAUAUCUCUGUACCUCCAAGGUGUACAUAUUUUAUUGGAUCUCCUUUACUUUUUAUAUCAUUUAUUUCUUUAUUAAUUAUUCUUUUUGUUACUAGUGGUAUACUAGCUUUUCCUUUUGCAUAUCUGCAAUCUAUUACAUGUUCUUUUUGGCAUACUACAUAAUAUUCAUCUUUUUUCCUAGUAAAAAUAUUUUUUAUUGUUGGUAUUUUAAAUAUUUUGUCUACACUUAAAUCUAAUUCUUUUCCUUUUAUUUCAUCAAAUAUAUUACUGUCAAAUAUUAUUUUUUGUUCCGUUCCUUCAUCAUUUAAAUAUUCUUCCUUUGUUAUUAUUUUUAUAUCUUCUUCAGUCAUUUGAUUCAUCUAUUUCGCUAUCUAGUUCAUUAUCUGUUUCAUUUUCUGAAAUUUCAUAUAUACUAUCUUCACUUUCUAAUUCAUAAUCUAUAUAAUCUAUCUGCAUGUAUUCGGUAUUUUCUAUUUUUAUUUCUGAUAUUUGUUUAUUUUUUGGAUUUUUAGGUAAUUUACAAUCUCUAGCUAAAUGUCCUAACUUUCCACAAUUAUAACAAGUACAUUCUUUUAUAGAUUUCUUUUUUCUAUAUGGUCUUUUAUGUUUAUAAUUUUUUACAUAGUAUCUUUUUCUUGGUUUUUUAUAUUUAUAUUUUGAUUUUUUAUAUUUCUUAUAUUUCUUAUGUCUUUUUCUUUUCUUAUAAUAUCUUUCUUCGCAUCCAAAUUGGGGUGCUAUUUUAUUUUUGCAACAAGCUAAAUUUCUUAUUAAUGUUUUUUCCAUUUUUAAUUCUUCUCUAUAUUUUUCACAUAAGUUUCUAUACCAUUGUUGUAAAUAUUUUAUUCUUGCUCCUAACGUAUCUACUAUUUUUGCUUCUUCCCAACUUUUUAUUAUUUUCGAACUAAAUGGCUCGGGUAAUUUAUUAAAAUAUAAUUUUCUUAUUUCUUUACUUUCUUCUAUACUAUAUGCUCCUUUGUAAUAAUAUUCUUUAAAUGCGCAAGUAUAUUCAUCUAUAUAACACAUAUUACAUAUUGCUAAUUUUAACAUUAAAUUUCUAUUUGUAUCUUUUUCUUCAUUUUGUUCUUCUUCGAUUGUUGUCGUACUACCAAAUUCAUCUUUUAUAGCUGUUUCAUAUUUUUUUAAUAAUUCUAUAGGUGUUAGUUUAGUUGUUGUCGAUGAUGUUCCUUCUAUAGGUUUAUUAGUUCUUAAUACUUUUUUGCUAUUUUCGGUUAGAUUUGCAAACCAUAGUUUUACUGAUCCUAUUAGUGUUUUUUCUAUAUAUUCCGGUGCAUCUGUUAUAUUUAUAUUAUUAUCUAAUAAUUGUUUUGUCAUAUAUCCUAUCCAUAAUUGUAUUGUUUUUUCUGUAUCUAUUACACAGUCUAGAUCUAAAAAGUUAUAAUUUUUAUUCACUAUUUGUUUUGGUAUCCAUUUAUCAUAUUCAUUAUAUUUUUUAAACUUAUUCUUAUAAUAUAUAGGUUUUCUUAUUUCUGUUGUUUUAGGUAUUAUAUUUUCAUUUUCUUUUUUAUCAAGAGUAUUUAUUUCUGUGUGGGUAUUUUCUAAGUUUUCCUCAUAAAUUUUUUGUUCUUCAUUGAUUUCUAAAUUUUUUGUAUUUGUUAAUAUUUCUGUGUAUGUUUCACUAUCUUCGGACUCAUAAUUAUCUGUCUCUUCAAUAUCUAUAUUAUUUAUUUCUAAUUCUUCAUUUUUUAUUUCUAAUUUUUCCUUAAAUUGAUUUAUCUCAUUUAGUAAUUUCUGUUCUCUAUCUUUUUCUUCUUUUUCUUUUUGUCUUUGUUCAUACAGUUCUUUUAACAUUUGUAAUUCUUUUUCUAAUUCAGCAAUUCUACUAUUUUUGGUUUCUUCUAUUUUUCGUAUUUCUUCCGUAGUUUGUUGUUUUAUUUUUUCUAUUUCUUUUUUCCUAUCUAUCUCUUCAUUUUCUUUUUCUAUUCUUACCAUUGCUGUUAAUUUAUCUUCUAAUUUUAAUUCUUCUUUUUCUAACAUUAGAUAUAAAUGUUCACCUAUUUUCUUAUAUCUUCGUCCUAGAUUAGAAAAUACUAUUUUUAUUUUUGAUCCUUCGUAGUUUUCAUAUAUUUUUUCAUCUAUUAUAAAUUCUUCUUUAUUCAUUUUAUUGUGAAUAGGUCAUGUUGAUAUACAUAUUCUAAACUAUCUAUUUGUGAUUCUAAUUUUGAUAUUUCAUCUUUUUGUGUAUUUAUUGAAUUUUCACUGACUCCAGCAAAUAUAUUAUAAUGUAAUCUUUCUAUUCUUAUUUUUAAUUUUUACGUUUUUCAGAAAUAAUUUGUUUUAAUUCUUUGUAUUUCUGCACUUUAUUCAUUUAAACCAUGUUUAUAAUAUCUUAGUGGAUAUCUAAAUCUAAUUUUAUCAUAAUUAGGUGGUAUGUGUUUCAUUCUUCUAGAUUUUAAAUGGAUUAUUAAUUUUGCUUCAAUACCAAAUAUUAAGGUAAUUAGGUAGACUAAUCUUUGUGGGUUUUCUAUUGUUUUAUUUAGACUUGUAUAUUCUGAAUAAUUACUAAUUAAAAAAUCUUUAAUUUUUCUAAAAGUUUCUCUAUUUUUAAAUGGUCUUCUCAUAAUUAAUGCAAUAAACAUAGAUAAAUUCUAACAUGUCUAACAUAUAUCUAAUAUUAAGGUAAUUAGGUAGACUAAUCUUUGUGGGUUUUCUAUUGUUUUAUUUAGACUUGUAUAUUCUGAAUAAUUACUAAUUAAAAAAUCUUUAAUUUUUCUAAAAGUUUCUCUAUUUUUAAAUGGUCUUCUCAUAAUUAAUGCAAUAAACAUAGAUAAAUUCUAACAUGUCUAACAUAUAUCUCUAACAUAUCUAACAUAUAUCUCACAUACAGACAAUAGUUAAAAUUGACAUAGCGUGUAAAUUUUAGUAGAAAGAUCACAAUAAAUUUAAGACGCUAUGGAAAUCACUCUUUCAGUUAUUCACGAGACCAAAUUAGGCUCGCACUGAAUCAUUAAAAAAAAUCAACAAACAAUUAUAACAGUCCUAAAACAAAAUAAAAACUACUAUGCCCAUAUUUAUAGACCCACGUAUUCACACACAAAUAAUUUUUCAGAAAAACAUAUUAUAUCUUAGGAAUAAUUACAGAAAGUAGCAUACUUAAAGACUAUAAUUACACUAAAUAGCAACACUUUUGUAAAAUUACAGUUUAUAGCAAGAGUAACAUUAUUUUACUCAUUAAUUAGGUAAGUCCAUAUUUUACUCUCACCACUUUACAUUUUCUUAUUUUCACUCCACCAUUUCACCUCCCCAAAAUAUAGCUAUAUCUUUUAUCCUUUUUUUUCAUCUUAUUUUUUUUAUUAUUUAUUUUUUUAUUUACUCUCUUCUAUUUCUCUUUUUUUUUUUUUUUUUUUUUUUUUUUUUUUUUUUUUUUUUUUAAUUUUUUUUUAACGUUUUUUUUUUUUUUCAUAUUUGAAGACAAUUAUCUCCAUGAUCUUCAAGAUUUCAAAAUAAAAUAUGUCUUUCACUCUCUUAUCUCUAUACCUUUUUUCUUGUUACUUUUUUUUCAUCUUAUUUUUUUUUAUCAUUUUAUUUUUUUAUUUUUAUUUUUUAUUUUUUAUUUUUUCUUUCCACGUUGUUUUCUCUCUUCUAUUUCUCUUUUUUUUCCUUUUUCGUUUUCGUUUUUUCCUUUCUCAUAUUUUUUUUCUAUUUUUUUCUAUUUUAUUUUGUUUUUUUUUCUUUUAUUUUUACACUUCUAUUUCUCUUUCUUCUUUUUUUUUUUUCUUUUUCACUUCUCUUUUUUUUCAUUUUUUUAUUUUUCUUUUUGUUUUCUUUCCAUUUUUUUUACUCUUCUCUCUCUAACUUUUAUUUUUAAAAAGACAAAUAUGUAUAUCACAUACACAUGUUCAAAAAACAUACAAAAUAUAUAGACAUACAGAUCUGGAUAUGUAUUUACAGUACAAAACAUACAUAUGUAUUUACGAAAUACAUAUGAUAUUAAUAUUAGAUAGUAACAAACAUAACUAUACUAUAUAUCUUCAUAUGUAUUUGCGAAAUACAAAGGUGACUCAUAUAAAAUAAGAAUACACAUAUGAAUCAGGUAUGUAUUAUGUAAAUACAUAUGCAGAGCUACAUGUAUUUUAUACACUGUUCUUAUUUAUUUUCUUUUACUGUUUUAAGAUAUGUAUAUGUAUUUUUUUACUACCUAUAUGUAUAUGUAUAUAAUUUUUAUUUUUGUUAUAGAGAUUUUGGGUCCUAUAUGUUUAUAUAUACAUGUGAGUCAGAUAUGUAUUUCUGUAAAUACAUAUGCAGAUUUGUAUGUCUAUUUAUUUUGUAUAUAUUUUUUAAUAUGUAUAUAUGAUAUAUAAAAGUAAAAGACAGAGAUAGAAGAGUAAAAAAAAUAUAGAAAAAACAAAAACGAAAAAAAUAAAAAUCCAAAAAAAAAGAAGUGAAAAAGGAAAAAAAGAAAAAAGAGAAAUAGAAAUUAGAAAUAGCACAAAAUAAAAAAAAAAAAGAAAACAAAAAAAAAUAUAAGAAAAGGAAAAAAAUGAAAAAAGAAAAAAUAAAUAAAAAAUGAAAAAGGAAAAAAAAAGAGAAGUAGAAGAGAGACAAUAAAGUGGAAAGAAAAAGUGAUAAAGUAAAAAAUUAAAAUAAUAAAAAAAUGAAAAAACUAACAAUAAAAAAUAAUUAGAGAUAUAAGAGGAUGAUAUUUUGAAAUUUUGAAGAUCAUGGAAAUAAUAAUCUUUAUAUUUGAGUUUGAUUUGAAAAAGCAAUCUACUAAUUUAAAUAAGAGUAAUUUGUGGGAAUUUAAUUAGAUGAGAUAAUUAUUCCUUAUUUAACUCAACUAAUUUGAGUAAAAGAAGGAAAGUAAAUCUUAUUGUAUAUGUAUUUGUAUAACAACAGUUUACUUAAAUACAAAUUAUAAUUUGCUAUUUUUCAUAAUUAUGAAACUGUUGCUAUAAAAGUUACAAUUAAGACUCUAUAAUUGUUAUUUAUGAAAAUUUCCAUAUAUUUUAUCCACAAAGGUGAUGAAAAACCAACAGCCAAAUUUUAGAAUAGAAUAAAAAACACACAUUUAUAAACCAAACAAGAUGAAGAAAAGAUGAACAAAGGAAUUAAAGGGGCAGAUUCACACAUAUCAGAACACUUAAGACAAAACCAUAUUCCUAAAUUCAAUUCCAGGAUAAUGAAUAUCAACACCAUAAAUAGACCUAAAAUAAAUUAAAUUACCCAUUCACGACAUUCAAAAAGUGGCCGACAAAAAAAUGUGAAGGCCACAUAAAAGAUGGGUGUUUAUCUUGUGUUGUGCAACAAGCCUAGGACUUCAAUGUCAAGAUUCUGGACACGAAUUCCAGUUACUCCUAAAAUUCAAACUCAAACCCAAGUGAGAUCAAUAAAAGAGAAA
rnacentral:lncRNA from 1 species